rnacentral:lncRNA from 1 species
UGUAGCUAGCGAUAGGUAGCAAAGCACGGCAGCAAAGCAAACCACCGUGCCUCUCUCUCUCGUCUCGUCUCUGCGUUGCGCCGCUCCUUAAACAAACGCCAGGAGAAGGCUGCGGCACGCGUCCCCCUCCGUCUCCAGCCUCCACCCAUCUCAAAACCCUAGCAACCGCGCCUCCAUCCCUACCCGAAUCCCAAUCCAAGCCCGAUCCCCCGGCGGCGAGGACCCCUCCGCGCCGAUUCGUCCACGCAGAUCGGCGGGCGGGGGCAGAUUCAGAUUCGGGUUCGCGGUUCGCUCGGGUCGUCUCGCCGGGGUCCACCGCGGCGGUCGGGGAGCUCUUCUGGGCGCCCGCGCCGCUCACCACCAAGUCCUGGGCGGACGUCGAGGACGACGACGACGACGAUUACUUCGCCACCACUGCGCCGCCGCGCCCCGUCUAGGGCACUGCCGACGAGCCCGUCAAGGAGGAGGAGGACGUCGAGGAUGUUGUGCGGGCCGCCGAUUUUGUUGUGGAAUGUGCCUAUGAUGUUCUUAUACCGUCAUAUAGGUUAAUUUGUGUUUGUCUAUUUUCAGAUAAAAAUGAUUGCAGGUUUAUACAAAAACAAAAUGGAUAGCUUCAUUUAUAUUUGCGUACCCAGCCCAAAAUGGUCUCAUGUUUAGCGGAAUGAAAUUUUGGGAUAGUUAUUGUAGGUUUGCCUCUUGACUUUUUCUUUUUUUGCCUAUACAAUCUGCUACUUGCCAGCCUUCUUUUCUGGAUGCCUCUUUUCCAACCUUAUUUAUAUAUAUAGAUGCUAAGGUCUGUGCUCUUUUAUAUCCAUUUUCUUAUUGUUGUAUGAUAAGCUGCAAUUUAAACAUAGCUUCUCCUUUGAUGAUUUGGUCAUUCCAGUCAGAAAAUUUUGGUCUUCUCCUGCAGGUUGUGGUCAUUUAAUGUUACUUUCAUUUUUCAUGUACCUUUUUAAGCCUUCUAUAUCCCCUUUCAAUUUCAGUUUUCAUUUGUUUUCGAAAUGGAAUGACUAUAGUUCUCAUAGAUGCAGCUUUACUCAUUGCUCCAUAUUAUUUCCUCAUUUCUUUUCUUUGUACAGCAAAGAAUAAGGUGAAGAUGGCGGACACAUUUGCUAUACACAGUAGAUCAAUACCUUCUGCUACUACUUGAUGAGAAUCUCCCCUAUUUAACUAGAUUAACAAUUACUUUAGUGUUUUGCCAAAUUCAUCAUGACUUUACUAUGUGGCCUCACCUCCAAUGCUAUUUGCUCAAUCGACGUAGCAUAUGGUAAAUGUUACACUGCAUCCUGUACACAUAAGCCUCGUAUAUUACUAGGUACAAGCAUUACAAAUCUUAUCUACAAAUACACACCUCCAUGCAACCAUGUAGUAAAAAAAUGAGUUUUGGCAAUGUGUUUUUUCCAUUAAUGUCUACAACAAGAAGUACGUACUUCACAUUGAGUAGACUAGCAAUGGGGCUCACAUUGCCAGCUACAAUGAUACAUGCUUCAAUUUGGAUGUCUUCUAGGCUUUAUAGUAUUCAAAGUCUGAAUAUGAAUGAUUCUUUGUGCAUGUACAAACUCAUUUUUCUGCACUACAGAAUUCUUCCAGUCAGAAUGAUGUGCCUAUAACAGUUAGUUGCUUAUGGUUGGUUCCUUUGUUCCUUGCAAGGCUUUCUGUUAAUCGCUAAUUAGGUUUGCACAACUAUCGUGCUGUUGACUGCUAAGGACCGUUUUAGAGGCAGUUCACUUAAGAAAACCGCCUCUGAAUUCUUAGAGCCAGUUCCUUUAAGUGAACCUCCUAUGAAUCUCUAUUUUCAGGAGCAGUUGUCCUUAGUGAGCCGACGAUGAAGAUCCAUGAUUUCCAGAGGUGGUUCACUUAACAGAACUGUACCAACAAAUAAGUUAUCGGAGACGGUUUGCUUAGUCAACCACCCCUGAAAAACUUACUCCAGACUCUUUCUUCUUCCUCGCGACCGAGCGCAACACCUUUCGUUCUUAGCUCUCGACGGCCGAAGAGAAACGGCAAGAGGAGAGGGGGAGGUUUUGGCCUUUCAACUUUCAAACAAGUUGGAAUUGUGGGGUGAGUCUCUUCAGCCAUAAAGCCUAUUGGAAUUUUGCAGAAACAUUAUAUUUGAUUCUACGCCGAGAUCUAUAUAGAGAGGGGGGAGCAAUUUGGGCUCUAAUUUGUUUUUUUAUUUAUUACAAGUAAUUUGGGCAAAAAUUUUUAUUUAGUGACACGAUAUCUUUUCUCAUGCAUGCUAGCUUUUUUUCUUUACAUUUAUAUAGGGUACUAAAUAUGGACCGGUCAUGGAUGUACAAAAAACGAAGAAACAAAGUCACCUACAUACAUGAAUUGAAUGGUUUCAGUGAAGCAGCUAAAAGACAUGCUUUGAUCAAGCAGACAAAGGAUAUAUAUUGACCCUGUUGUGACUAUAGAAACCAAAUAGUGCGCUAGGAUCCAAAUAAAAUAAGGUCACACUUGAUAAGAAGGGGUUUCAUGAAGAACUACGAGAUUUGGGAUCAUUAUGGUGAGAGAAGUACGAAGGCAAGGGCUACACAAGCACCAAGAGUUCGUGGAGUUGACAAUGCCCUUGUUUUCACGAUGCAUGAUGAUGUUAUAAGAGAAGACUUUGAUGGUGGUGGUGGUGGUGGUGGAGAUGACGGUUGUGACGAUGGAGGAGGAUAUGGUGGAGAGGAUGAUGAUGGUGAAGUCAACAACGAAGAAAAAGAGGACUUCCUAGAAGAUAUGCUACUCAAUAUGGAAAAAGAAUUACUAUUGAAAGGGCUAAAAAAAACUUGGAGGGAGUAAAGAAAGCAAUGAAAGAACGCUUAUAUCCGGAGGAACAGGGAUGUGAGAAAAGAUGGUCCUUGCUUUGUUUUUUGCUGGACAUACUGAUUUUGAAGGCUAAGUAUGCAUGGUCCGAUAGGAGCUUCAAUGACCUAUUGACUCUCUGGGCUGUUGUGCUUCCUAAACCAAACUUUGUGCCCACCAACACAUAUCAAGCAAAGAAGCUUAUCAGUCCACCUACAAUGGGUGUGGAACGAUUAUAUGCGCAUCCAAACCAUUGUAUCCUUUAUCGUGGGGUCUUCAAAGACCUAAUGAAUUGUCCGACGUGUGGUGCAAGUUGAUACGAAAGGAACGACAACAGUAUUGAGGAAGACAUGGGUACUAAGUGUAGAAAAAAGAGAAAGAAGUGUGGAAAGAAAGGAGACGCUACUAAGAAUGUUGAAGAAGAAAAUAGCACCCUAGGAGUGCUCACGUGUUCUCUUCUUGCUCCAUGAAGUGAUCUUCAUAUUUCACAAUCUUGCCAGGAAAGUCUUCCCAUCCACGGUGAGGCUGGGCAGCCUGACGGUGGGCUUGGCGUCUUCUCCUAUUGCGUUGCUUCCUGAUCUGCUCAUGGUUAACUAGUGUUCUAAAUUGACAGUGUACCUUUCUGGUAGGUAGGUUGAAGUGGAUAUGUCCGGAACCAAUGUAGAUGUUGGCGUUGGCUGUGUAGAGGAUUGGUCUUCCCAAGAGGAUCGAGGACUCAUCGUCUCCCUGCAUGUCAAAAACUAGAAAAUCUGCAGAUAUAUAUUGUCCUUGAAUUCUUACCAUGACAUCCUUGACCACUCCUUCAGGGAACCUUAGUGACUGAUCCGCCAUCUGCCACUGAAUAUAUGUUGGGUAUAAAGGUAAAUCAAAUAACUCAUCAUAUACCUAUUUUGACAUUAUGUUGCAGCCUAAUCCAGUGUCGCAGACGGCGUGAGCGAAGGUGGUGUCUUUGAUUGUGCAUUCAAUGAUUGGAACUCCUGGAUCAGAUCUCUUGGUUGGAAAUGGCUUGGGUAGCAUAUGAUCAUUCUCUGUGUUGAGAGCAGUGAUCAAUUGAGUUGUCUCCGCAGGUGCAUGCUUGGUCCUCCUCCAUCUUCUAUUGUUUCUAUUAUUCUUGUUCUUCGUCAUUGGUUGCUAUUCUUGCUCUUCUUGUUGAUGAAAUUACUUUGGGGCUGUAGGAGUUUUCAGGACACAGUUCUUGAAUGUGAAUCUCUCUUUCUUGUCCUUGAUGGAUAGGACGAUCUUGGCAUACUCUGCAUAGAUGAUGGCUUUUGUUGUGCACAAGAAUGGUCUGCCCAAAUCGAUGGGUGCCUUCUCAUCUACUCCUGUCUCCAUGACCACAAAGUAACCUAGGACAUACGGUUGCCCCACUCUAAUGACAACUUCUUCUAGUACUCUCUCAGGGUAGCAAAUGGACUGAUAUGCAAGCUUAGGCAUGAUGUUGACACUUGCGCCAAAAUCGCAGAUAGUCUCUGGAAAGUUGUGGCAUCCUAUAGAGAUAGGAACGACAGGUCUUCCAGGGUCUCCCAUCUUCUCUGGUAGAGAGUGGUCAAUCCACUGUACAUCUGCAGGCUCAAUAUGAUAUUGGGUUGCAUUGUGAAUGUCAACAAGGUUAGCAGUUUCUAAAUCUUCUGGUUGGCCUGGAAUCUUGCCUUUUUCUAAUGGAGGAACAGCAGCAACUAAUUGUGAUUCGAGCAUUUUAUUGAAACUAUGCUGAUUCUUUAUGGCAGAAGCAAAAGUAUCCAUUCUAGUAUGUAUGUUUUUCAAAGUUUUAUCAUUUGAUGUUAGUUUCCUAGUCAUUUGAUCUAGUAGUUUGGAUUGACUAGUAACUAAUUCUCUCAAAGGCGGAAGGUUAAAAUUAUUAGAAUUAUUACCUUGGUUGUUAUCUUGGUAAUUACCUUAUCGGGGUUGUUGGUUCCACCCUUGAUUGUUGAGGACAAUAGUAGGUAUUGUUGUUGAUGAAGCUCACAUCCUCUUGUAGCGUAGGGCAACUGACAGCUGAGUGCCCGUAGUCUCCACAUUCUUCACAUGUCAUAUAGGAAUCAUUGAUGUGCAUGACUUCCUUCUUCUCUAUGUCGAGCUUCUUCAUGAUGAGGUCUAGCUUGGCAGUGACCAUGUCAGCUUCCUUGAGAUGAUGGAUUCCUCCUCCUUUCUUCCGAGGUUGAGUACGUUCUUCAUUGCAUGUUGAAUUGGAGGCCAUCUUCUCCAAGUGCUUUCGCGUCUGAGAGCUUAAGUGACAGGAAAGCUCCCCCGGCUACAACAUCAAUAAACUCACAGGUACUAGAGAUGAGCCCAUGAUAGAAAGUCUGCAUUAACAGCCACUCCUCUAUCCCAUGAUGAGGAUAGUCUUCAAUGUAAUUUUAGAAUCUUUCCCAUGCUUCAGUGAAUGAUUGAUCAUGUUGUUGUUGGAAACUUACAAUCUUCCCACACAGAGCAUUUGUCUUGGCUGUACGAAAGAAUUUUGCUAGGAAAGCAGUCGAGCAUAGGUCCCAUGUAUUAUGUUUGUCUUCACCUAAAUGCUCUUAUGUUUGUUCUUCUACUUGUUCUUCAAACUCUUCUUCUAAUGUUGGAGUUGGCUCCUCUAAAGAGCUAGCUUGAGCAGAAGAGGGUGUUCUUGAUGGUGACUCAAAUUUAUCCCUUGCUUCAACAAACUUCUUCUUUCUAAGGAGUUUCUCUAGAUCUUCAGUAAAGUUUUUUGGAAGAGAAAAACCAUUUAUUCAUCACCCAACAUAAGAUAAGAAAAUGAUAACGACGAAGGGUGUACCUAAUUGAGUUAGAAAUCGAUUGGUAAUAUGACUUUAUCCAUGUGUAUAUAUGUUAUCAAUAUAUCCUAAGUUUAUUGUGCCUUCUAUUGAUGGUCCUUAAAUACCAAAUAUAAUUAGUAAAUAAAUAGAGAAAAGGAUCCAAAUGUAACCAACACCCAGACUUAGGGUUUUAUCUGACAGAAUUCCACGAGUUUUGGUGUUUGUCUAUUUUUGUAGGGGGUUAUUAGGAAAUAUGGAGGAAAGGCCCACACGUCGGGAUUACAUAGAGAUAUUAACGUGCACUGCGAUUAUCCAACAUCUAGAAGAGUCCAGAAGCCACAGAAACGAGCGGGAGGGCGAGCGGGCCCGGGGCAGGGUGCCCGCCCUCCCCCCUUGGGUGCUCGCCCUGGCCUGAGAGCCAAUCAGGCUCCGCCUCGCAGAUCAUGCUCCACCGACCUAAGAGAUUAAGAAAAACCGUGCGAUUAAGGUCGGUUUGAUCCGACGGUCCAUAUUCAUUUGGAGGGACUAUAUAAGCAGCCCCCCUGGCCCCUAGAGAGGAGGACCUGAGAAGCCCUAAUUCAUUCAUUCAUCUCGGGAGAAGAAGUCUUUGAUCAAGCCCUCGAGCCACCACAUCAACUAGAUCUCUAGUUUAGCAUAGCUACAUAGGAUUAGAACUAGAAGGAGUCAAUCUUCGAUUGGUUUCCAUAUCUGUCAAGAGGAUUCUUGGUAAUUCCUCUACUGUUCUUCAUUUUUUCAUCAUUGUUCUUCAAUAUUAUGAAUAUGACUUUGUUCUACUUCAAUAUAUUGAUUAUGACUUUGCUCUACUUGUUUAUAUUCGCAAUUAUAUCGUCCUUAGUUUGUCAUAGUUAUAUGCUUGGCUUAGUUAGAUUGGAUUUAUAUACAUGUUUAGGAUCAUAUAGCGUUUAUCCAUGUGUACAGUGGGUAAACGAUAAGUAUUGUGUAGGCGUGGUGUCUAUACCGUAUUUAUCUGCGAUUGUAUCCUAUAUGCCGAAUCGCGGGGUAGUUCGUGGUGGUGACAGCUCCUUUGAUUCUUAUAUAGUCCCCCUCUCGUGUAUAGGGUAGGCAGAACAACAUUAUUACAGGGGAGUGAUUGCUAUGUUUCUCAUUUUCCUUGAUAAUAUCACUAUGCAUGGGCGUAGUCAUGUCUCGCAAUGAUUGACAAGUAUAAUUGCACUAACUAUGAUAUGCUAGACUUUAUAGUUAAGAAUAACUUAGGAAAUAUUCUUGUAGUUCAUCCUAAUUCCAUGCUAAUGACUUGUGUUGACACUUGCUAACACCACUUGAAUACUAGGUUGUCAUCCCCAGCAUGGCACUAGAGUGUACUAUGGUAUUUAUACGCACACAGAUAAAUCCGCAAGCGCACGGAUACUGUUGUAGCUUUUACCCGGUUAAAGGUUUUAUCGUAUCCACAGGGAAACGGAAGAACCAACUACGCUCUAACUUAACCAAGAUAGAUAGAUAGGUGUAAAUAGGAAAGAUGGUAGAAUUGAAUAAGAACAAUAUUAAAGGUAAAAUGAUAAUGGAGGAAUAUAGAGUAGAGCAAUCUAAUAUAUGGGUGAUAAUAGGAGAAUAGAGAGAAUAACUAUGGUUUCUCUACUUCAAAAGGGUAUGUGAUAUGACCAUGCCACCAAGCAAGAUGUCACAAGCUUCAAGUCAAUCUACAUCCACUCAAGUUUCACCUACACCGACACCAGCCCAAGUCAUCGAUGGACCGAUUACACGUAGUCGUGCAAAUAAGCUACAACAAGAGGUAUAUAGAAGAAGAGAAGGAUAAAUCGGACCUGAAGAACAGACCAGUGCAAGUUCCAGAAGAAGCCAAAAACGGACCAGUGGAAGCCAAAAACGGACUAGUGUAAAGAAAUCUUCAUAACUUUUUAGUCACAAAAGCUAGGAAGGUCUAUGAGGACUUGUUGGAAAUCUUGUCGAGUCUACUUUCUAAUAAAUCUAGUGGCGACCAGUUUGGAUACACCAUAUUGCCUGCAGACCAGAAUUAGUAUAGACUGCUCAGAAGGUUAAUAGUCUGUCAUGACAGAAUGUUGGUACAACUUGCCAAGUAAAACUGUACCAAUCUACAAUGUUUCGAUGGAAAGCCCUUUGAGUCUAGUUUCACACCCAAGAAACGGUUCAUCAUUUGGACUUCCCAAUAAGAAGUUAUGGUCAGUUUAUUGGAAACUGCUCUGGAGGCCAACAGUCACGCGAAGCCACUUCAGGAAUCCAUUCCGAGGGGACCUUUCACAUUGCCUUCCCUCAGAAACUCUAUUUUGUUUUCAUACCUAUCUAGCAGGGCUGUUGCUAGUAUAAAUACUCCCUAAGACUCAUUGUAAUCUAUGACUUUUGAUGAUUGAAAUACAGAACCCCUUUGUUCAGCUGCGUGCUAACAAAUCUAGAGAGUGAUCUCUACCCCUUUGCUCUUGUGAUUUCCUCGUGGGAUUACAUAGGCGGUGGCUUCAUCCGCUCCCAAUUGGUGCUCCUACUCCCUUCAAGGUAUUCCUUGAUUGAUUGUAGGCUAUGUUGGUUGGUUUCUUGAGAGUGUGGUUGGGCGAAUCCUCGAUUCAGGUUGCCAGUUAAAGACGGUGGUUGGCUUCGAGUUUUAUUUGCCAGGUUACACUAGUUAUCGCUGCUUGCUGCAAGUUAUCCGGCUGUUCUUCAGCUAGUUAUCGGUGUUCAUCCUAUGUCGUGAAGAUCGGGACAACGUGACACAUCAUCUGAUAUCAAAGCUUUCGUUACCACAGUAGGAAUUUUAUCCCUAGCUACAUAUAUAUUUUUGCUUUGUCCUAUCCACCAAAAAGCCAGAAAAAUAUAUUGCUUAGACCUUUGUUUCAAUCUGUUAUUUUAGUGAGUUCGGUUACGUCGCAGUCCAUUAGAGUCUUUGUUUUAGUUGCUGAUCAUUUAUCCUUCGCGUGUUCUUUGUGCCUCUUUUAUAUCUAAAAAUCCCCACAAAAAAAUCUAUAUAGCCUAUAUCAUUCUUUGUGUUAUCCUUGAUCCUAUCAAAUUAUAGUUUCUGGUUGUGCUUUGUUUCUAUCAUCAAGUUUGCAAGUAUUAUAUCUGAUCACUGUGUUUAGUUCUAUAUAAAAAAAGUGUGUCAAAAAAGAAAAGAAAGUGCAAAAAAAAAGUGAAGUAAAAAAAGGUAGAGAAAGGUUCAGAGAGAAAGUGUGAAAGAUUAGUUGGUUUAUGUGCACAAGUGCUGAAAGUUUCAUAUCAAGUUCUGCAACCAGUUUGCUAUCUUUGUUUGGUGCAAUAUUUUGGUUGGGUCUGAUUGCAACACUUGCAGCCCAAUCAUACUCCUUGUUUGCAUCAAAUCUGAAUUUUCUUUGUGCGUGUGUGUGAUCAUUUACUUCUUUCAUAUCUUGUGGUCAGCGCUAGGCAGAGAACUUCUAGUUUGGAUCGUUACUUAACUUUACAACAACUAGAAUUUAGAUUGCAUUUCUUGUGUAUUACUUCCCACCAAGCUCCACAUAAAAACCAUCGUAAUCAGUACUCUCUGUUCUUGUAUUCGCCUCGCCAUCACUUUCAGUUGCCACCACACAUUUGUUUUCCUUGUAAUCUGCAGCAGAGGAAUUCAUAAGAGCUUCGGUGGUUAGAGAGGUGAGUUGUGAGAGCCACCAAAUUUUCAUAUUCCACAAAUACAAAUUAUUUGUAUUCAGCUAACCUUACAGGAAGAUGGGUCAAGUGGACAUCAAAGAUCGUGUUUCCAUAGCACAAUUUAAUAAACUCCGACAAAGCAUAGAAGAAAAGCAAGAUAGGUUGACACAAGAUCUUCAGAAUCUUAUGACUGAAAUCAAAAGGCAUCGUCCACCUCAUGAUGGUGCAAGCAACCAUAGUGGAGAUAGAGAAGAUAGUGAUGGAAGAAGAGGAGGUCGGAGGAACCGGAGGGCUGCACAUGGUAAAGGAAGAAGACAUAGUCGAAGAAAUGAUGAUGAAUCUGAAGCUGAGGCUGAUGACAACCGCUUCCAACUCAGUUUUGGUCGCUGAUGUCAUAGAAGAGGCAACCAUGAAGAAAAUUUUGGCAAACUGAAAUUUACCAUGCCAAAAAUUGCUGCUGAACCAUCCCCGAGGAAUUUCUCUGGAGGAAGCAAAUCACACACAAAAUUUGCUGCUGAACCGUCCAUGGUGAAAAGCUCAAGUGGAGGCUCCCGAUCUAAUUUUUAUGGUACUUUUAGUGGAAAGAACACUGCUGUCCAUGGUGAAACAUUCUUUGUAGCCUAAAGGGUAGUAGCAAUAGAUUUAGUUAGUCAGAUGCACGCUUUCUCCCAGUGGUAAAAAUAUAAAUACGAUACUCUGGAUAACCUCCUGGGUGAAGUGCUCACCGAUAUCCGUGCGCUUGCGGAUCAUUUCCUGAUGGCGUUAACAAAUAUCAACAAGCAUUUCUGGCGCCGUUGCCGGGGAGAAAGACGGUUUGCUGAGAUAACUUUAAGUCUUGUUAUUAUCUUGUAUUAUACUUUUAUACUUUUAUUCUUUUAUCUUUUUAUUUUUUCCAUCUUUAUGGAUAACUUAAAUUCCACAACUAUUAUUGAAUUCUUUGCACCUUCGGAGACCAGCCAUAGACCAUGGGAGUCAACAAGUCCUGCCCCUAAUUAUGAUCUGUGUCCUGAGUUGAUUGCAAUAGGUCAAAACCAACCCUUUUCUAUAGCCGAGGUCCUAUCUUUUAAUCAAGAAGAUAAUGAACUUUUAGCUACACCUAGGGAAUCUUUUAAUCUUUUUAUAAAUUCUGGUUUAAACCUAGCCCUACAAGACCAUGUUUUUCCUCGAUAUUUUCACAUUGGUCUUAAUCAUAUAACCUUUGGUAGAGUUUUUCUUUCUUUAUCUAUUAGUAAAGGAAGGUAUGUCUUCAUUCAUGGACAUCCUUCUUGCACUAGUCUUCACAAAAAAUUCCUAGAGAUAGAGAAGGAAUCAUCUCCCAUACAAGGAAAGGAAGUUUCAAUAGCCGAUUUCCAAACAUUUCAAUCCCAUGAUUCAGCUAUCCAUCCCAUCCUUGAGCUUAAUAAUUUCUACUAUGCUCUUUCUCUUGAACCUCCCGAUAAUCCUAUGAAUCUCUCUAGACAUCCCAUGCAUAAGAGUCACCAAGAACACAAGAAGGAUCGAGAAGAGCAACAUCAAUGGCUAGAGGGCAUUAAAAAUCCAUGUGCUAUCACCAUUGAAUGGAUGGAUAAAACAAACUUGAGAGACAAUUCUAGAGGAAUUUUAAGCAUUCGUGAAAAAUCAUCCUUGGAGUUUGAGAAUAAGAGAAACAAUAGUGAGCAUGGAAGUUAUUUCAUGAACACCUCACCAAGUCCUUGCUCAUAUAAAACAUCUCCCCAAUCAACUGGUCUCUCCAACCUUACCACAUUUGAGAUCUCCAACCCCCUCUUCCUUUUUAUUUAUAAAAACUUUAAAAGGGUGGUUGUCGAUAUAUAUGUCUAUAAUAAAUAUUGCAGAUCUCGUUGAGUUGAUCUUGAUAUAGGUCAGCGUUGGAGGGGAAACCACUUCACCGGCAUAAAUUGAUGGUUUCCCAGGGACAAGCUUAGUGUCCUAAAACAAGCACUUAUCAGAUCGUAACAUGAAUUUCUAAUUACUUGCAACAUUACCUAGUGUGUUGAGCAUAUAAAGAUAAUUGUAGAAAUAUUCCUUCGGGUAUUCUUGUCACUAACCUUUCCAGGAUUGGAACAAGAAGAUCGGAUGAAUGACAAGCACAAGUUAUGUCUAACCAAUCGUCAUGCAACAUUGAAUUAAAUUCAUCUAAACUUGAAUUUUGCAAAAUUCAAGCUUGGGGGAGUAUUUUACAUAAAAACAUCCUUUGCCAUGUUGCUAUGUUGGUUGUCCCUACCUUUGAGACAUGCUCAAUUUGUUAAAUACUAAUCACGCUACUUCAUCUCCACUUCAGUAGAUCUCUAUAAAUGCUCUCAUGCUACCUUUAUUUGCUUUAGUAUAUGUCUAGGUUUGGAGUAGUUUCAUUUAUCUCUUAAUUCAGCAUGGUGCUUAGUUUAGGAAUGAUGAUCUUACUUCCAAGGGAUUUUGAAUUAAGCAUGGUGCUUAGGUUAAAAUGCCUUUCUAAAUCAAAUUAGACAUGGUGUCUAGGUUGAUUUUUGUGACGAUAGUAUGCUAUAGUAGAUAUUGGAUAUUUUGUUAAGGAAGGCAUAGCUCACAAGAGAUGAUCCAUGGAGGGUGCCACAAACACGAUGCACAACCGCUAAGAAAGGAAAGCUUCCACAAGGUGAUACUGUAUCAUCACUCUUCAAGUAAGGUAACAUCUUAAGGUACUUGACUAUCUCUUUUAUAAGCUUAUCCUUGAUUCUGGCGUUCACAUAAAACAAAGAAACAGACAUGUAUGAUUUAUAACUCCAAAUUAACCAACCCAACUGAUUCAGCAUGGUUAGUCCUUUAAUCUUUGUUCCUAGUACUACCUCCAUGAUCCUACACUCCUAAUCAUAUAAGCUAAAAUAUUGCACAUUCAAUCUUUGGAAGAUAAAAAAAAUAAACAAAACAUAAAAUAUAGAUAGAUUAUCUUUCCAUUAGGUUAAGCCAUCUGAUCUGACAAAUGUUUUAAAUGCUACACUCAUGAUCUUAUUAUCCAUCAACUUUGUCUUGCUCACUAUGCUUAAGGUUAGAGAAGAACAAAUACACUUUUGGUUCUGUUGGUGUUUUUCACCAACAGGGCCCAUGCACUUGAUCCCUGCCUUGUCUCUAUGAGUAGGUACACUUCGAGCAAAACCUGAAGGAGUUUUACAACUCCCAGACUCCACCAAGUGAAGGGCUUGGAUCUACGAGCACAAACACACAAGAGAUACUAGACACUCAGGCAAUCACUGCCCUGAGAUGCUUGAGGACGUAAACUAUAUCAACAACAACAACUACUACAACCGUCCUCAACAAAAUCAAGGUUGGAAUCAACACUGGCCUAACUACUCAGAGAGGCGAUCCAGGACGCCCCGUCAUCCCGAUCUCCAUCGGCAUGAUGGACUUCCCAGAACCACUCUGCAACUUUGGCUCCAACGUCAACAUUAUGCCCAGGGUUGCAGAUCGGACACUAAAGUUUCCCAAAGGGAAUAUUGAAGAACCUCUGCGUCCGAGUUGGUACCUUGUAUGCCCCAGUGCUACCAAGAUUAGUCUCUACAUCAAGGGGAGGAAGGACGUUUUCCUUCAAGAACAAGACUACACAAAUCUCAGAGCAAUCCCGACAUGAACCAAGGAAGAGGACCAACAGGAGGAACAGGAACAAGCAAAUUCAGACCGAGUCAGCUAAGAUGGUCACUACAGUUCAAGGAGGUCAAGAUCGUCGACUUAAGUCACCGUUUCUGACCAAAAAGGAUGACCCAGCUCCAGAUGGCAGAUCAGACAUUCCAAAAGGUUGAAGGUUAUUGACAUGGGAGAAGACGAGUAUGAUACACCCAUCAUCCUGGAGAGACCGUUCCUCGGCACCGUUAAAGCAAUCAUCUACAUUGGAACCGGAGAGGCCCACAUGCACUUCCCCUCUCAGAAGGUACGCCGCUAUUUUACUGACCUUAACUAUAUAGUUGAAGACUCUAAGCAGGUCAGGACAAGAAGAAGACGACGCAACCGCAACCAGAUGAGGCAAAUCAUCAAGGACGGAUAGGCAGACUACGAAGGAGAAGUGAUAAGGUCUGAAGACAUACAGCUUGAACAGAACUAUCCUGAGGAGACUGUAGCACCGAGUUAGGAAGAGAAGAUAGUUAUACACGAAGAAGAGGCGCCGCCGGAACCACCGACUACGCCAUCCAAUGAAUCUCAUGACGACUAAGAAAAUGGAGAGUUCCAUUCGGAGGACUUAAAAACACCGAAUGUCUUGCCAAAAGGUAAACUUGGUAGUUAUCCUUUUCCUUUCAAUUAUUCAAUUAUAGUUCGCUUAGUUAAUCACGUUCAUGCUAUCUUGAAAAGAAAAUAAAAAUGUUAAAAAUAGUAAGCCCCAUGUGAGUAUGCUCAUGGCAUAAAACCCAUAAGUACAUUCACUGUGCUCACAUAAAAAUAUUCUUGUCCUGUAAAAAUGAGAAUAUAAAAAUAAAUUUAUGAUCCUACCAAAGAGAGUAAUAUUUAUUAGAGGAAGCUCAAUAUGAUAAAGGCAAAGAGAUUUUAUGCUAACACUUAACCAGUUCCACAAAGCUUUGUUGUCAAUUUGAGCUCCACAGAAUUCAAGGAUCAAAGAAGACUAGCAGACGGAGGACAUCCUAAUCGCUGUCAGGGUGCUGCCGACAUUCAAAUACACCUCUGUCACCUGCUAGCUACAUCAGAAGAAAUUACGUCAAAAUCCAGCUUGGGGGAGAGCACCCCCAUUUAUCCAGCUAAGUAUUUCUACUCACGUUUAUACUUUACUCAAAUAAUAAAAAGAUGCAUAAUCAUGAAAACCUAAAUAAAAAUUCCAUGCUUAUAUUUUUGCUUAGUUUGCUAAAUAAAUAAAUAAAUAAAGUUUGAUAUGAACCCUCAUGAUAAGCUCUCACAUGGAAAUGAUAAAUAGUUGCUCUGCUAUGUACCUAGUUUUCAAGCUUGAGCUCUCUCUCAAGUUUAGGCAUAACUGUUAUAAUUUAAACCUGCUCUAAACCUGAACUUGUGGGAAGAGUACUUGAUCUGAAGUCUAAGUUGUUAACGGAUAUGAUAUGGGAAGGUUAAGCUGUUGUUUAUCUGUUCCUAGAGAUGCUAGAAUUCUGGAGAAUUUUAUCUUUGAAAAUCUUUAAAAUAACACAUGAUGAGUUCCUGUAUGAUGAGAGUUUAAAAUCCUGCCACAACCAUAUAUACAUGCUUAUUAGGCUAUGAACCAUACAUUUACUUUUUACUACUUAUGAGCAUUGAGUGUGGUCAAGCUGUGUAGACCCUUAGGAGCUUGUCAUGCGGGUAAAAUCAAGAUCCACUUGCACGUUCACUCACACAUGCUGCUUCUACUCCGGAAGUACGCAUCCACAUAUAUCCACUCAUUUCCAUCUCUAGAUUCACCCAAAAUUAUUCUACUCCUAAUCCGAGAGAGAAUAGCCAAAAACAUUUCCCUAUUUCUGUUUUUCCCUAUGAAAUAAAUGCUCAAGAUAUUUUGGUUACUACCACUUGCUACAUUAUUCCAGGAGGGUGAGUGCUCUGACAAAAAAGAGAAAAAAAGUUAAUACGAGGAAAUAAAAAGGGGCAAGUGCCCGAAACCUCGAAGAAAAGAAAAAGUGUGACGAGAGGUAAAAAUGGACAAGUGUCCGAUAGUAGAAUUAGGGGUACAAGAUACCCACCUGAGAGAAAAAGAAAAAGAAAAAUAUAGAGCAUCUCAUUCUCCUCAAAAAGCUUCAAAGUGCAAGAAAGGUAUGUAUCCCCUAAAAAAAGCAAAAGUAGAAUUAGACUUUCACCAUUGUUAUCACCAUCAUCAGCAUACAGCAUUCACUCGCCACAUAUGCAUAUCUUGAUUUGACUUAUUGACUUGUUCUUCUGGAUCCAUGGUUUGACUAUACAAUAAAUGUCUUGUAAGUAUGUAUUAUCUGUCUCCCACCUAUGGGCUCCAAAUAUCAAAACCUUAUUAGAGUAGGGUGAGAGAGAAGGCAAUAUCACUAUGCCUCAUACCAAAAAAUACCACACACUUUGAGAGAUGGCAUAUACCAUUACUGCCUUGGAAAGGAUCCAGAAAUACCACAAAAGAGAGAUUUGAGAGAGUCAUACAAGGAGUCUCUUAGUUUUAAUUGAAAAUCUGCAAAAACUCCAGAGCUAUAGCUGAUCAAGAAUAAGAGACAUGGCGCUUGACAUGACCGUUCUAUUUUUUAACUGCUCAAGACACAAGUGAUGUUUGCAAGCCCCAUGGUGAAAGGUAAAAUGAGUAAGUUUUAAGUCUUAACAGUUUACUCUAACUCAGAGAUGAGAUCUUGCUUGAAUGCAUGUGUACUUUUACGACAUGAAACCACUGCAGAAACUCUUGAGUCCAUCCUUGCUCAGGGACGAGCAAGACGUAAGCUUGGGGGAGUUGUUGACGGUCCUUAAGUACCAAAUAUAAUCAUCAAAUAAAAAAAAGAAAAGUAUCCAAAUGCAACCAACACCCAGACUUAGGGUUUUAUCUGACAGAAUUUCAUGAGUUUUUAUGUUUGUCUAUUUCUGUAGGGGGUUAUCAGGAAAUAUGGAAGAAAGGCCCACACGUCGGGUUUACAUAGAGAUAUUAACGUGCCGCGUAAUUUUCUACCAUCUGGAAGACUCUAGAAGCCAUGGGAAUGAACGGGAAGGUGAUCGGGUCCGGGGGCAGGGCGCCCGCCCUCCCCCUAGGGCGCCCGCCCUAAGGUAGAGUCCAAACAGGACCCGUCUCGCGGAUUACGCUCCACCGACCUAAAGGAUCAAGGAUAACCGUUCAAUCAAUGUUGGUUUUAUCCGACGGCCCACGUUCACCUGAGGGGACUAUAUAAGCAGACCCCCUGGCCCCUGGAGGAGAACAAGUUCAUCAUAGAGUUGCGAGGAGCCCUCGAAGGAUAACCUCUCCUCUAAAUAGACUUAGGGCUUAGCAUCCAAUGUGAGAGUAGAAUUAGUUCUUCUAAGUUCUACUAGAUUGAGAGAGAUAGAGUGGAGGUGUAGAUCGGAGGAAGCCCGGCCUGUCGGUGUCUACUCUGAGGUUGUACCUGCGGGAUCAAGUUCUCCUAACCCGAGGCUUGCUCCUAGGAUUCUUCAGUAAUUCGACUUCUAAAUUCUAGUAAGUUCUUGUUUUAUUGUUCUUUGGUUUAUGAGUUUACUUUAAUCUCUUCCGGUUGAGUUUAGAGUAAUCAUUGCUAGCGUAAACGUGGUGUUUGGGCUAGGGUACUCAUAGAUAUCCCCUGACUAGCUAGAUCGUGGUAGUAGCGAGGAACGUGACAUUUCCGAGUUACCUUUGCAGCCCACAUCUUGUUAGCAGGAUGGGUAGGGUUUAUAGGUGCGGGUCGAACAUUCUUUGUGGUGUCUAGAUUCCGUGAGCCUCCCCAAUAGAACAGUAGAUCAUCCUUACCAAGGUUUGAACGAGACUACGGUUGUAGUCUUCUCUAUACAUCGCUCACAUCGAGAAACAUUCUUUGUAGCCUAAAGGGUAGUAGCAAUAGAUUUGGUUAGUCAGAUGCACGCUUUCUCCUAGUGGUAAAAAUAUAAAUACGAUACUCUGGAUAACCUCCCGGGUGAAGUGCUCACCGAUAUCCGUGCACUUGCGGAUCAUUUCCUGAUGGCGUUAACAAAUAUCAACAUAUAGUAACUGAUGUCCCUGUCAAAAUAGACGAUCAUUUUGUCCAUACAGAUUUUCAGGUUAUUGACAUGGGAGAAGACGAGUACGAUCCACCCAUCAUCCUUGGGAGACCGUUCCUCAGCACCGUUAAAGCGAUCAUCUACAUUGGAACCGGAGAGGUCCAUAUGCACUUCCCCUCUGAGAAGGUACGCCGCUAUUUUACUGACCCUAAUUAUAUAGUUGAAAACUUUAAGCAGGUCAGGACAAGAAGAAGACGACGCAACCGCAACCAGAGGAGGCAAAUCAUCAACGACGGAUGGGCAGACUACGAAGGAGAAGUAGUAAGGUCUAAAAACAUACAGCUUGAACAGAACUAUCCUAAGGAGACCAUGGCACCGAGUCAGGUGUGGAGAGAGAAGAUAGUUAUACGCGAAGAGGAGGCGCCGCCGGAACCACCGACUACGCCAUCUAGCAAAUCCCAGGUCGAUUGAGAAAACAAAGAGUCCCGUUCGGAGGACUUAAAAACACCGAACGCCUUGCCAAGAGGUAAACUUGGUAGUUAUCCCUUUGCUUUCAAAUCAUUUACUUUUUCUUAAAAAUAGCUAGUUCAAGUUAAUCAGGUUCAUAUCAUCUUAAAAAGAAAAAUAAAAAUGUUAAAACCAGUAAAGCCCUAUGUGAGUAUACAAGUGGCAUAAAACCCAUAAGUACAUUCAGUGUGGUGGCAUAAAAAAAUAAUAAUAAAAAUAUUGUUCUGCUCUAUAAAAAUAUAAAACAUAAAAUUGUGAUCCUACUAAAUAAAGUAGCAUUUAUUGAGGAGGCUCAACAUGAUAAAGGCUAGAUAUUUAUGCUAACACUUAAUCAGUUCCAGAAAGCUUUGUUGUCUAUUUGAGCUCCACAGAAUUUAAGGAUCAAGAAGACUAGUAGACGGAGGACAUUCUAAUCGCUGUCAGAGUACUGCCGACAUUCAAAUACACCUCUGCCACCUGCUAGCUACAUCAGAAGAAAUUACAUCAAAAUUCAACUUGGGGGAGAGCACCCCCAGCUAUUCCGCUAAGUAUUUCUAUCUUCAUUUAUACUUAUACUAUAUUAAAAUAAAAAAUAUAUAACCAUGAAAAAACCAAAUAAAGAUUUUGUGCUUAUAUAUAUAUAUCGGUUGCUUAGUGUGCUUAAUAAAUAAAUGAAGUGGCUAUGCUAAACUGAAUCUUAAUAAAACUCUAGCAUGGAUACUAUGAAUAGUUGCUCUACCUAAUUUUCAAAUUUGGAGUUCUCUCUCUAGUUUAGACAUAAUUAUUAUAAUUUAAAGCUUGCUCUAAACCUGAACUUGUGGGAAGAGAACUUGAUCUAAAGUCUAAGUUGUUAACGGAUAUGAUAUGGGAGGGUUGAGCUGUUGUUUAUCUAUUCCUAGAGAUGCUAGAAUUUUGGAGAAUUUUAUCUUUUUAAAAUAUCACAUGAUGAGUUCCUGAAUGAUGAGAGUUUAAAUUCCUACCACAGCCAUAUAUACAUGCUUGCUAGACUUUGAGCCACACAUUUACUUUUUACUGCUUAUGAGCAUUGAGUGUGGUCAAGCUGUGUAGACCCUUAUGAGCUUGUCAUGCAGUUAAAAUCAAGAUUCACUUGCACGUUCACUCACACAUGCAGCUUCUACUCCGAAAGUACGCAUCCACAUAUAUCCACUCAUUUCCAUCUCCAGAACCACCCAAAAGUAUUCUACUCCUAAUCCGGGAGAGAAUAGCCAAAAACAUUCUCCUAUUUCUGUUUUUCCUGUGAAUUAAAUGCUCGAGUUAUCUUGGUUACUACCACUUGCUAUAUUAUUUCAGGAGAUGACUGCUCUAAAAAAAGAAAAAGGAUACGAGGAAAUAGAAAGGGGCAUGUGCUCGGAACCUCAAAAAAAGUGAGACGAGAGGUAAAAAUGGACAAGUUUCCGACAGUAGAAUUAGGGGUACAAGAUACCCACCUCAGAGGAAAGAAAAAGAAAAUAUAGAGCAUCUCAUUCUCCUCAAAAAGUUUCAAAAGAGCAAGAACGGUAUGUAUUCCCUCAAAAGAGCAAAAAGUAGAAUUAGACUUUCACCAUUGUUAUCACCAUCAUCACCAUACACCAUUCAUUCCCCACACAUGCACAUCUUGAUUUGACUUAUUAACCUCUUUCUCUGGAUCCAUGGCUUGACUAUGCAAUAAAUGUCUUGUAAGUAUGUAUACUUCAUCUCCCACCUAUGAGCUCCAGAUAUCAAAAGGCUUAUUAAAGUAGGGUGGAGAGAGAAGGCAAGUUUACUAUGCUUUGAGAGAAGGCAUAUACCAUCGCUGCCUUGGUAAGGAUCCAGAAAUACCACAAAAGAGAGAUCUGAGAGAGUCAUACAAGGAAUCUCUGAGUUUUAUUUGAAAAUCUACAAAAAAACUCCAGAGCUAUAGCUCAUCAAGAAUAAGAGACAUGGCGCUUGACUAGACGGUUCUAUCUUUUAAAUACUCAAGACAUAAGUGAUGGUUACAAGUCCCAUGGUGAAAGGUAAAAUGAGUAAGUUUUAAGUCUUGACAAUUUACUCUAACUCAGAGAUGAGAUCUCAUUUGAAAGCAUGUGUACCGUCAACUUUUAAAGUCAUUACAAUAGCUUCUGAUCCAUCACUGAGUCGAUCCUUGCUCAGGGACGAGCAAGAGGUAAGCUUAGAGGGAGUUGUUGACGGUCCUUAAAUACCAAAUAUAAUUAGCAAAUAAAUAGAGAAAAGGAUCCAAAUGUAACCAACACACAGACUUAGGGUUUUAUCUGACAGAAUUCCACGAGUUUUGGUGUUUGUCUAUUUCUACAGGGGGUUAUCAGGAAAUAUGGAGGAAAGGCCCACACGUCGGGUUUACAUAGAGAUAUUAACAUGCACUGCAAUUAUCCAACAUCUACAAGAGUCCAGAAUCCACGGGAACGAGCGGGAGGCCAAGCGGGCCCGGGGGCAGGGCGCCCGCCCUCCCCCUUUAUGCGCUCACCCUGGCCUGAGAGCCAAUCAGGCUCCGCCUCACGGAUCAUGCUCCACCGACCUAAGAGAUUAAGGAAAACCGUGUGAUUAAGGUCGGUUUGAUCCGACGGUCCAUAUUCAUUUGGAGAGACUAUAUAAGCAGGCCCCCUAGACCCUAGAGAGGAGGACUUGAGAAGCCCUAAUUCAUUCAUUCAUCUCGGGAGAAGAAGUCUCUGAUCAAGCCCUAGAGCCACCACAUCAACUAGAUCUCUAGUUUAGCAUAGCUACAUAGGAUUAGAACUAGAAGGAGUCAAUCUUCGAUUGGUUUCCGGAUCUGUCAAGAGGAUUCUUGGUAAUUCCUCUACUAUUCUUCAUUUGUUCAUCAUUGUUCUUCAAUAUUAUGAAUAUGACUUUGUUCUACUUCAAUAUAUUGAUUAUGACUUUGUUCUACUUGUUUAUAUUCGCAAUUAAAUUGUUCUUAGUUUGUCAUAGUUAUAUGCUUGGCUUAGUUAGAUUGGAUUUAUAUACAUGUUUAGGAUUGUAUAGCGUUUAUCCAUGUGUACAAUGGGUAAAUGAUAAGUAUUGUGUAGGCGUGGUGCAUAUAUCGUAUUUAUCUGCGAUUGUAUCCUAUAUGCUGGAUCAUGGGGUAGUUCGUGGUGGUGACAGCUCCAUGAUUCUUAUAUAGUCCCCCUCUCGUGUAUAGGGUAGGCAGAACAACAUUAUUACAGAGGAGUGAUUGCUAUGUUUCUCAUUUUCCUUGAUAAUAUCACUCUCGCAAUGAUUGCCAAGUAUAAUUGCACUAACUAUGAUAUGCUACACUUUAUAGUUAAGAAUAACUUAGGAAAUAUUCUUGUAGUUCAUCCUAAUUCCAUGCUAAUGACUUGCUGAAUAUCUGUUGAGGUGCUUAUCGUUAUUAUAUGUGGCUAGUAUGCUGAUCAGAUUAAUUAUCUUUGUCACCAUUCAAACUUUAUCUAUAUUUUAUGUGACAUUUAUCCCUGUAUGAAAGAGAUAGAUAAAUGCUCUCUAUUAUACAUGCAGUGAUAGAUACUCAAUUCCAUAUUUCAUUCCAUAAUCAACAUUGAUAAUUAGCAAUCCCUUUCGAGUGGUAAAAAUAUAAAUAACGAUACCUGAAAUACUUCCCGGUUAAAAUGCUACAUCGGUAUUAAUAUGUGCGCUUGCAGAUCUCAUUUAUUAUUCAUUCAGAAGAGCAAUUGCAUAUUUCAAUACCGCGUCUCUCAUGUCAUGCUGGGGAUGACAACUUGGCUUAAGUGGCAUGAGGGAUAGGUUCGGCAUUUUUGGCACCUUUAUCAGAAUUAGAAAACUAAGUCUACUUUUGGUAAUGACGUUAAGAAUGCCCAACACCUUCCCCGGCAACGGCGCCAAAAAUGCUUGUUGAUAUUUACUACCAUCAUUACUAAAAAUAGAGAUAAACCCUACCUCUAGCAACAACACCAGAAAUGCUCAGUAUAUAACUAACUUGUCAUUAAGCAACUAGCCACUUCUUAAUUACUAACUUUCCUAAACAUGAAGUAGGUUGUCAUCCCUAAUUAUAUUGCUAGGAAAUUAUUAUAGAUUCACAUGUACUAAUGUGACUAGGCAGAAAUAAAAGAUAUGAAUAUAAUUAUCAACUAAAUGGGUUCUGCAAGCGGACAUAUAAUUAUACUGUUGUAGCAUUUUACCUAGGGAGAUCAUCUAGGUUGUCGAUUUAUAUUUAUACCACUGGGUAGGCUACGUGUUGAACUAUAAUCUAUUUUAUUGAUAAGAAACUAUAUAGGAUGAAUAAAUGAUAUUACCAAUGUCAUAUAAUCUACUCAUAACAGGCAGAGGUCACAAGAUAAAUAUGGAUAAAUAUGGGUGAUAGCAUAAUCAUCAAGUAUCAUAAUUAAGGAUAAUCAUGAGAGCAUCUACUAGUCAUAAUCAUAGUUAGCCAUUGGAUAAACUAGGGUGUUAGAUCUAAGGAAAUUCUAUAACCACAUCAAGGAAUGACUUUAGUUAGUGCUUAUCAUAGUUAACUUAACCCUAUAUCAUAAUCAUAUGUAAAGAGGCAUCAACCAAUGAGGGUAUUAAGACACAAGGGUCACCUCCUUCGUGACCGUGCCCAUGCUUGUCCUACGUAUGGAGGAUGGACUAUAGAGGAACCAACAUAGCUAUCACCUAUGCAGACUACCAAACGUCCCUGCACUUUAGGGUGCACUCACAGAUAAACAAGAUAUCUAGACACCACGUCUACAUAUUGUCUACCAUCUACCCAACGAUCGAUUAGGUAAACGCUAUACGAGCAAUUACAUGAAUUCAAUAAGAUCAAACCAACUAUCCUAGACAUAUAAUCAAAGUAGACAAUGACUAUUGCAAUUAAGAACAUAUGAAUCUAUUAAGAAUAAAGUCUCCCUAAUAUAUAAUGAAUACAAUAAAGUAAGAACUAGAUCUAUUACCGAACUCUUAUCCUUUAGACCGACGCUAUGGGCUCCAGAUCCCGAUGAAGAACUAGAUCUCCUCUACUUCUAAUCUAACUAACUAGAACUAUGAACUAGAAUGCUCUUGAUGAACUUGAAGGCUCUUGAUGCUUGAUGGCUUGAGGCCUUGAUGAAUGAAGUUGUCUCCUCUAGUGGGGUCUACCCAUGUAUUUAUAGUAUGGUGGGAUGCGCGUACACCGUAGGAUCAAACCAACUUAACCAAGGGCCGAGAUGACUCCUCGUAGGUGGUGGAGGAAGCUUCCAGAAGGGGUAGGCAAACCCUAGCAAUAGGGGCCCGGUCGGUGCAGGGAUGGGGCCGACCGGCCCCACCCGGCAUGGUCUUGGCCCCUAGUUGCUUCUGGUGUCUUCUGGAUCCUUCCCACGUCCCGUUCGUGAUCUUUUCAUGGCGGAUAAGUUUCGUGUUUAUUUUGCACUUGAAGCCCUCUUUUUAGCUUUUCUAGAAAUAGACCCUAGAAAAUACAGAAUAUGCAUGUUGAUGGUCCUUAAUGCUCACAUUUAACCGUCAACUAAUCAUGGAAAAGGAUCCAAAUGCAACCAACACCCAGACUUAGGGUUUUAUCUGACAGAAUUCCAUGAGUUUUGGUGUUUGUCUAUUUCUGCAGGGGGUUAUCAGGAAAUACGGAGGAAAGGCCCACACGUCGGGUUUACAUAGAGAUAUUAACGUGCCGCGCAAUUUUCUAUCAUCUAGAAGACUCUAGAAGCCACGGGAACGAAUGGGAAGCCGAGAGGGCUCAGGGACAGGGCGCCCGCCCUACUCUCCUGGGCGCCCGCCCACUUCCAGAGUCCAAUCAGGACACGUUUCGGGGAUUAUGCUCCACCGACCUAAUGGAUCAAGGAAAACCAUGCGAUUAAUGUCGGUUUGAUCCGACGGCCCAGAUUCAUCUGAAAAGACUAUAUAAGCAAGGCCCCCUGGCCCCUGGAGAUCAUACCUCUUCUACAGAACCAAAGUUAGGGUUUCAAUUCUUCAUCCAAGUAGAGAGGAUCCCUCUAGUUCUUCUACUUCUACCUCUAGUUCAUCUAGUUCUAGUUCUAGUUCGUCUAGUUCUAGUUCUAGUUCCUCUAGUUCUAGUUCUAGUUAGUUCUAGUUGUAAUCUAGAAAAUAGGGAGAGAGAAGAGGAGAGCGGAGGAGGAGCCGGAUCUGUCGGAUCUUCCUUAACAUUGUACUUUUGCAGCAACUGGUUCGUUCUUCAUCGUUCUCCAGGUUCUUCAAUUCAUAAUCCGAGUUCUUUAAUUACUUUUAUUUACAUUCAAGUUAUUUACUGGAUUCCCGCUUGCAUCAUGUGCUCUAAUCUUUGCAACAUUAGAGUAGUAAUUAAUAGAUUAGAUGUGGUGUUUAGUCUUGCAAUUACUUGGAAUUGCACCCAAUCCUGCGGAUUGUUGUGGUAGCCCUAGGGUAGUGACAGCCCUAAUGGUCGACGUAUUCCACCUCGUUCGGAUCGGUGUUUGUAGGACCGUAGUCAGACCUUCCUAGCCCCCUUCUCCUCUCUUUCUGUGGUUAGUGCUCUGAUGUCCCGAUAUAAAUAAUCUUUGAAGUAAUUCUUGAUUCUUAGAUCAACUAGAGAACUCUCAGGAAACUUCCUCUCUUCCCACCAAAAAUAAUUAUAUAGUUAUCCUUGGGCGAUCUUGAAUCUUAAUUAGUACACUCACGUUCCCUGUAGAAAAUCGAUACUCUGGAAUACUCCCGGGUGAAGGCUACAUCGGUAUCCGUGCGCUUGCGGAUUUUUCUGUUUGCGUUUAAAAUACCCAACAAUGCAUAACUCAUGGAAAUUGUCAGUUUAAACACUAGAUGAGUGUGUUUUCAUGUUCUCCUUUGGGUCUAAAGCUCUAAUAAAAGUUGACAUUAUCGACGUCAACAAUUACUCCUACUAUGCCCUUUGAUUUUUGGAAUCCCUUAUCAUCUUGAUCUUCUUCUUCUUUCUUCUGGUCGACUUCUUUAUUGUCUCCCUUCUUUCUUGUAUAUCUGUCAAUGAAGAUGCGACUAUCUCCAGUCAUAUGAUUCCCAUGUGGGUGCCAUAUGCAGUGCAUAUUCUUGAAGUCAUCAAUCUUCUUGGUCUUAGAAAAUGGCUUAUUUGCUUUGUCCACCAUGGCCACUAUGUUGUUGGGUCUCUGCUUCUUGCCCUAUUGUCUGUUGCCAUGGUGGUUCUGUCUGUUGAAGUUGUCUUGGUUGUUUUGAUCUGAGAACCUUUCUCGAGUCUUUUCCUCUACAGCAAUCAUCCUUUGCACCGUGUACUUAAAGCCCUCAUUACUCCAUAGGUUCUCUUUGCAAAUUCAUGAAAUUACUAGUUGGUUAGAAUUCCAUAGGAGAAAGCUUUGAUAACCUCUUGCUCAGUGAUGUCAUGUACUUGGGCAUGUAUACUUUCAAUAAUUGGAAGGUUUGAACUUAUAGUGUAGCUAUAUAAAAAGAAGUCGAUUCAUGAAACAAGGGAACUAGUCAGGUAUUCCUACUUCCCUAUACCAGGAUUUAGCUCCUCCUUCUCGCCGACUUGAUGAGAGCAUGAGUAGUUUGGGGGUACCAUGGGCAUAGGUGGUCUGCUUGUGUUUUCCCUUAGUUGCUCAACUAAAUUACAUUGGCUUUGUUCUACCCUACUUCUUAUGUUGCUGCUUUUCAUCAGUCCUAAUCUUUCAAAAGCAGAUCUUCAUUGUUUUGAUUGUUCUAUCUAUACAAACCUAUCCCGACAGGUUGUCCUGAAUGAGACUUCUCGUAUUGCAUUCAUCGAGUGGCUGACCAAAAGAUGUCCUUAAGGUGUUCUUGUUCUUCAUUGGGAUGGGAAAUAGCUUUGAGUUCUUUCACAAGUUCAUGAACCUUUGUAUAAGGAGAAUUGUUUGUCCUUCUAGCUACUCACUUAUUCUUAGCUUCUUGUUCCACCUUCUUUGUUUUGUACUUGGCUAGUUGUUGAUGGUCCUUAAUGCUAACAUUUAACUGUCAACUAAUCAUGGAAAAGGACCUAUAUGCAACCAACAUUCAAAAUUAGGGUUUCAUCUGACAGAAUUCCACAAGUUUUGGUAUUUGUCUAUUUCUGUAGGGGGUUAUCAGGAAAUAUGGAGGAAAGGCCCACACGUCACGUUUACAUAGAGAUAUUAAGGUCUACUACAAUUUUCCGUAAUGAGAUGGACCUAAGAAGCGAUUGGACUGAAGCAGAGGCAGAACGAGGCGUGGCCCAGGGCGCCCGCCCUAGGGACCAGGGCGCCCGCCCUCCUGUGGUGCCUAAUCAGGGUCCACUUCGGGGAUUAUGCCCCACCAACUCUAAGGAUCGAUGAAAAUCAUGCGAUUAAGGUUGGUUUGAUCGGAUGGUGAAGAAUAACGUGAUGCGGAUCGAUGACAAGGAAAUUCCUUGGGGGCUACUCUUCCUAGAUCUCUUGGGGGCUACUCUUCCUAAAUUUCUUGGGGGCUACUCUUCCUAGGCUAUAUAAGGCGCCCCCACCAGCCCCUGGAUGGAUAUCUCUUCUACAGAAUCAAAGCUAGGGUUUCAAUUAUUCAUCCAAGUAGAGAGGAUCCCUCUAGUUCAUCUAGUUCUAGUUCUAGUUCAUCUAGUUCUAGUUCUAGUAAGUUCUAGUUGUAAUCUAGGAAAUAGGGAGAGAGAAGAGGAGAGCGGAGGAGGAGCCGGAUCUGUCGGAUCUUCCUCAACAUUGUACUUUUGCAGCAACUGGUUCGUUCUUCAUCGUUCUCCAAGUUCUUCAAUUCAUAAUUCUUGAGUUCUUUAACUACUUUUAUUUACAUUCAAGUUAUUUAUUGGAUUCCCGCUUGCAUCAAGUGCUCUAGUCUUUGCAACGCUAGAGUAGUAAUUAAUACAUUAGACGUGGUGUUUACUCUUGCAAUUACCUAGAACUGCACCCAAUCCUGCGGAUUGUUGUGGUAACCCUAGGGUAGUGACAGCCCUAACGGUCAACGUAUUCCACCUCGUUUGGAUCGGUGUUUGUAGGACCGUAGUCAGAGCUUUCUAGCCCCCUUCUCAUCUCUUUCUGUGGUUAGUGUUCUGAUGUCCCGAAAUAAAUAAUCUUUGAAAUAAUUCUUGACUCUUAGGUCAACUAGAGAACUCUCAGGAAACUUCCUCUCUUCCCACCAAAAAUAAUUAUAUAGUUAUCCUUGGGCGAUCUUGAAUCUUAAUUAGUACACUCACGUUCCCUGUGGAAAAUCGAUACUCUAGAAUACUCCCGGGUGAAAGCUACAUCGGUAUCCGUGCGGUUGUGGAUUUUUCUGUUUGUGUUUAAAAUACCCAACAAGCUUUCUGGCACCGUUGCUGGGGAACCGUAGCUGUGCUAGUUUCGUACCAAGUCGUCAGUGUAUCCUUUUUCUUUUCCUUUUUUUUACCACACUCACCUUACCAUUUUCACCAUACCACAUGGAUUUCACUCCUAUCUAUAAAUUCUUUGCUCCAAAGGGCGAGUUAUUAGAGCCACCACCAUCAUCACAUCCAAUUCUUACAGAUGGCUACGACCUCGGCCCUGAUCUAAUAGCCAUAAUUCAAGAGCAACCCUUCUCUAGGCAAGUAGAUGAAGAUCCGUACACCCACCUUAGAGAAUUCGAGCAGUUGUGCUCUUGCCGAUCUAUUUUCGGCAUGACACAAGAAACCCUUAAAUGGAAAUUAUUUCCGUUCUCCCUUUUGGGAAGAGCAAAAAAGUGGUAUGCUCAUUCUGUAGGAGGCGUUAAUGGAAAUUGGGAUGAACUUCGGGACAACUUUUGUCUCGCUUUCUUCCCACUUUUUCGAAUCGCUGACCUUAGAAUCAAAAUUCUUACAUUCAAACAAAGAGAGAAGGAAACUUUAGGAGCAGCUUGGGCUAGGUUCACAAGCCUUACCAAUUCCGGUCCAAACCUUUUCCUGCCUGACCAUGUACUGUACUAUCACUUUUAUCGUGGUCUAAACAAGGAAGCUACUCUUCACCUCGACAUUGCUUCAGGAGGCUCAUUCGCACACAAACUCAUAGAUGAGGGGAGAGCUAUCCUAGAGAGAAUCCUUGAAAAUACCCCUUACACAUGCAUUUAUGAUGAGUUUCCUGAAGAAGAAAAAGAAGUCGAGCCUGGUCCUAAACCAAAAGAUGAGGAACUUGCAACCGAGUUAGAAAUUCCACCUGACCCAUCUAUUAAUUUGGUUUUAGAGAAACCUCCUGAUAAGGGAAUGCAAAACCAACUAAGGGAUAAUGAACCCCCACCUUUAGAGCAUCCCUUUGAAUUUGAGGAAGAUCUUUUUGAAGAUUAUGGAAAUGCCUUAAAUUUUCCUAUCCAAACACGACCUCUAGCAGGUACCACUCAAUCCGUUCUAAGAGUAGAAUCUGUUGACAUAGAACACAUCAAAAGCCUUUCAGCUAUUCUAAGUUAUGAAUGGCUAACAGAAGCAUAGCUGUCUCCUGAGGUAGCUCGGAUCAUCACUCCUUCAACCAUUCUUCUGUGCCAAAUUAGAGGGUCCGCUCGGAAGGUCCACUACAAUCCAUAUGUUGGGAUAAAUGUUAUUUCCAAGGAGUUAGCUGACACUCUUUAUCCCAACGAGUCCAUAACCCCAUCUCAAAAACUUUUACAAAGUCCAUCUAGAUUAAUUCUAGAAAGCCAUGGGGUAUUAAGGGCGGUUCCUGUUAGAAUCAAGGACUCUGGAAUAUGUCUAGAUUUUCACAUUUUUGACAUACUGUAAUACCCAAUUUUAAGAACAAAACCAGAUAUGCACCAUAUGUGAGUUUUAGAAGCCAAAUCUCACAUAUAGCUUCAAAUAAGGGGUAAUAUCAAAAGACAAUGCAUAAAUAUAUAACAUACUUAGUAUAAAAGAUAUAACCUUUGAUAGCAAAUAGCGGAUAGACAACUCCAAACUUUGGGUAUUAACUUCUCUCUACGGGAUCCAACUGACUGGUUGAUCACAAGCCUAAACUUCUCCUGAGGUUUGGGGGAAAUAGCAAGAGUGAGUCCAUGUCGAACUCUACAAGUAUAGCAACUAGAUUGUAUAGCUCCCACAAUCUCAUGAUCAAUGUGACAUAAAUAAUGUAAAGCAUUAAACAAUAAGCAAUGAGCAUAUUUAACACACAAGAUUCAUCACCCUUAAUGUAGAUGUCCCCAAGGCCGCUCCUGACCGUGAGCUCGGCUAGUAUACCAGUUUUACACUCUGCAGAGGUUGUACAUCUUUACCCAUGAGUCAUGAUUUACCCUUUCGCCCGAGGUGAUCAGCCUCUUAACCCACUUCCAAGGAAGGUUGGCAGGGAUCACUAUGAAGCCUUUCAAAGGUUUCGUCUAACAAAGUAGGGCCAUUAGAUUCACUCGGCAGGCAGAUAUAGAGCCACACUUCCAUGGCACAUAACCCACAGCCUAUACACACGGACAGAGGCCACACUAUACCCAACGUGUCGAGCCAUUCUUACGCCAUUUAAGGUAACCGCUAACAAGCUAGAAAAAGGUCCUCAUACUGGGCUAAAGCCAGAGCCAUUAUAGCCCUCAUGGUUGCACUGUUAUCCCGGGUGAUCACGUACAGAUAAAUCAUCAAGUUGCUAAAAAGUCAUUUUUAUUAUUUAUUACUUAACAUUAAUCUAGUCACAGGAUCAUGGUCGCAGAAAUAAAAUCCAAAUGCUAUACUUGCCUUAAUCAAAGCUCUCCUGAGCCUGCUACUGGUCGUCAAAAACUUGAUCUUGCUCACCAACGUACGGCUCACCGUCUAAACUCGAUCAUCGAUCACACAAAGAAUCGAAGAAAACAUACACGAAGCAAACAAGGCUACAAUUAGAACAGUACACCAAACAUAUAAAAACAGUAUGAAAAGUUUAUAAAAUGAUUCUACACAUCGCUAUGAUUUCAUAGACGUAAAGAUCACGAAAAUCGGAACUAAAAGAGAGGAGUUAUGAAUGUUCUAAGAUCUUAUAUAGAAAAGUAAUUAAUUAAAUAAUAUCACGAAAAUAAAAAGUUUCAAACUGGGUAAACAAUAUUACUAACAUGUGGAGCUCAUUAAUACGAAUCUAACAAAAUUUGAAUGGAUCAAAACGGAAUUAAAAUGAAUAUUUUAUGGCUAAAACAAUUUCAGUGGCAGUUUUGUAAAUACAAGAAAACGUAUUCUGAGCUAAGCCAUGAUGGUUUACGCUUUCAAAACAGGAAAGCGCAUUUUACGUAUACGCUUUGGACCGCGGGUUCAAAUAGCAAAAACAGGGAGGGCUCUUUAACAAAAAUGCGAAUGAAGGGGUAUGUUUUAUUUUUAGCCAUAGAUCUUGAGAUGAACGGCUUUGGGCGAUCCAGGGGAGCUGGGCGGUGGCCGGCGGCGAUCUCCACAGUGGAGCGCCAUGGCCGGAGGGGGAGGAGCUCGCCGGAGUUCGUCACUUAUGCGAUUUUGGGCAAGAUUUGAGAAACUAAUCGCAUAGGGAGCAAGAGAAGUUCAAGGGGAACAACGGGGUCGGGGAAGGCUCGGUGAAGGGGUUCGACGCGAGGAGGCGAGCGGCGGCCCUCUGCUCGUGUUCGGCGGUGUUUAGGGGGCGAGGGAGACCGAUAGAGAUUACAGGGACGGACUCCGGAGCUUCAAAAUCAUGUUGCGAAGGUCGGCACGUGGUUGCAGACGAGCUUUGAGCACCCAGGAACAAAAACCACGGCGGUGGCUCCAAAUCGGAACUUGACGAGAUCCAAAACGAUGACUCCGGCGUUUAGAGCGGCUCUCGUGCUCGUAGAUGGAAAAGAGAAGACACCGAAGGGUGCUAAAGCACUUAUAGGCGCUCAGUUGGUGCUUUGCCUGCGAAAUCCCUGGAGAUUACAGGAUUUGCUGCCUCCUAGAAGAGUCCUGGGCGGAUUUGGCGCUAGGAAGAAGAUAGGAAGGAGGGAUGAGACGCUGCCGCGAGGGCUCGGGCUGUCGGUGACAGAAAGUGGAGGGGCCCAAUCGCCAUGGAGCAGAGAGGAGGGAGGCGCGCGCGCUGCAAACUGGGCCGGGGCGCGCAGCUUGGGCCGAUUGUGGGAGAGAGGAGGGGGGGAAUGCUGGGCCGAAAGGGGAAAAGGGGAGGUUUUCUUUUCUUUUUUUUAGUUUCCUUUUCCUUUCUUUUAUUCCAAAUCCAUUUUCAAAUCUAUUUUAAAAAUUACUUUGAAAUACUUUUGAACUUUAGUCAAACCACUCAAGUCAACAAAAAUUAAUGUAAAAGCAUGAAUGCACAACAAGUUGCUAAGUUCUAUGAUAAAUUUUAUUUUAAUGAAAAAAUAUUGUUUUUCCUAGGUUUCAUGAGCACAAAAAUUCAUAAAUAAAUCAUUUUAGCUCUAUUUUCCAAGGAAAUAGUUUUUAAGGUGUUACAAAUCUACCCCCCUUAAAAUGAAUCUCGUCCUCGAGAUUCGAAAGAGGCACGAAUUCCGAAAGACAAGCAGGAAAAUAUCUUAAUACUCUUUCAGCUCCACACUUGCAUUCCAACUGCAAACACUUAUGUCUUGGGAUCACAACUUGUGAAUAAAACUUCCAUAAAAUGUCUAUUAUUCGUAAUUGUUCAAGGUCCAUCUUGACUACCAACUUUUUGACUUAUACAACUCGAAGACAUGGUAACUUAGCAUGGAUAUGCCUCCUCAGGUAGGAGUGGACCACUAUGAUACUCGAUUCUUUUCUCUGAUGGUGCGGUUAAGAAAAUUUUCCACUGGGUAGCAUAGAUCACUCCUUUGUGUGCACAUAACCAUCCAUUGCCAAGAACCAAAGACAUAUCGAGUGACUCUAGCAUACUGAGGUUUACAGCAAAGUUUUCCUUGCUUUUGACCAAAUUGAUAUUCGAACAAACCUGAUCCAUGGGACACUACACUCCCUGUCAUUAAGUGACCAACGUCAGUAACUCAGCAAAGAUAGUUGAUCAUAACCAUAGGAUAUCUCCGAAGACAAUUAUCUUCAAGAUAGUUUUAAAAUGCAUCAUCCCAUGAUAUCAAGGUACUACCCCCUUAAGACGAGGUUGAUUGGGGGACACUAGGGACUAGUUCUCCUAUCCUUUUUGUACACUACAGAUCAUAGUCCUUUACUUUUGUCGUACUGAGUGUCUUAAUCCAAGGUUACGUUCCUCACUAAGUUCCAAUUAUCGGUACCUUUAUCAUAGUUAAGUUGCUUCACUCUCGCAUCCCAAUUAUAACUUCAUAAACUUUGGUGUCAUCUAAUCCUCAUAAACAUAACUCUCAAUCCAUGAGUAUCAGCAAUGACAUAUAUCUCCAUUAAUAUUCUCUAAAUUAGAUGAUAUCCUGAAUCAAAACUAAUUUACCAAGCACUUGUGAUCUUCACUUAUGAUCUAACAUUAUCCAAUUUUUCUCUAUGUAACUUCUUUAAUUAGGCUACCCCCCUUAAAAGGGUCAACUAGGGGACACAAGAAAGUUAGCUUGCAUAUUUUCCAGACAAGUUAACUAACAUUGAGAACUUCUGACAUUCCAAAGAACUUAUGUGCAAUGGAGCAAACAGGUAUCCUGAAAUUUCCUCGCGAUAUGAAAAACAUCAGCGUAGUAAAACACAUAUAACUCUUAUUCUGUUAAUCCAAUAGAGUUUUAGCUUAUACCGUUAGAAAGCUUAUGAAUUUCCCUACAACUUUUAUGUAGAAAACCUCCUUAGGUUCUGUAUUUAAGCUUAAGUAAAAUAGCCAAACUUAAAUUCCAUCCUGACAAUGUCUCAGCAAAGAUGCAGUAACUUCCAGAAGUUAUAUCUCGAGCUACUUAACUCAUCUGGAGAUGAUCCAUACAUUUUUGAAAAGCCUAGGAAAUCCACUACAACUUUUGUAUACCACGUUUUCCCAGAUUCUGUCAUUAACUUGGCCGAAAAUAGGAAAUGCUAGAUCUGUCCAGAUUUUGAAACAGAACAGAAACAUCCAAGUGUAAAUGUCAUAUCUCAGGUUCUACUUAUCCAAAUGAGUUCCAGCUUAUACUUUUAGAAAGCUUAGAAAAUUGUAUACAACUUUUAUAUAGAACACCUUUCUAAAUUCUAUAGCUAUAUUUGUCUCAAACAGUAAGCAACCAAAACUGAUCCAGCUUCUUGACAACACAGUUGUAUCAUCUUGUGAUUUUUGUAACUUCCAAACCAUAACAGCUAUGAGGGUGAUUCUUGCGGUCAGAGAAAGAUCUUGAAGUCUAGUUGUUCCCAGAAAAAGUUGAUAGACUUUGCACGAUCAAACUUGAGAUACACCAGAACCAUUGCAGACUGCUCCAGAAAUCAGCAAAGGAUAGAAACGGGAUAUAACCAAACCCAACUACUUAUUUCACUAAUUCUUAUACCUUAGACCUAUAAACUAAUGAAAUUGUGAAGAAACUCACAAGAUCAUUACACUCAUUACAAAGAUCCAAAUCAAGCAUAAGCAUAAUGACAAACCAACUAAGCAUUAAAGGUUCAAACUUCACUCAACUUGCAAUACUAUCGUUCUCUUCAAAGUAAAGGUAAAGAUCCUAAAACUCCUCUUCAAAAGACACAAGAAGAUGAUAAGGGAAGGUUCUAAAAGCAUACCAACUCAAGGAGUGAAGGUGAGAACAAGGACUUUUAAAAUAAGCAACAAGGUAGAGACAAAUAGCAAGGAUAGGGAUAUAGUACGGAUAAAAAUACCAAGGUUUAUAGAGCAAGGAUUUUAUGACAAUUCCAAAACCUUAAGACAACCAUUUUCUAACUAGGCUUGUGUCCUACAGUCAGCAUUGCUCUGAUACCACUUUGUAAUUUCCGAUUUUAAGAACAAAACAAGAUAUGCACCAUAUGUGAUUUUUAGAAGCCACAUCUCACAUAUAGCUACAAAUAAGGGGUUAUAUCAAAAGACAAUGCAUAAAUAUAUAACAUACUUAGUAUAAAAGAUAUAACCUUUGAUAGCAAACAGCGGAUAGACAACUCCAAACUUUGGGUAUUAACUUCUCUCUAUAGGAUCCAACUGACUGGUUGAUCACAAGCCUAAACUUCUCCUGAGGUUUGGGGGAAAUAGCAAGAAUGAGUCCAUGUCGAACUCCACAAGUAUAGCAACUAGAUUGUAUAGCUCCCACAAUCUCAUAAUCAAUGUGACAUAAAUAAUGUAAAGCAUUAAACAAUAAGCAAUGAGCAUAUUUAACAUGCAAGAUUCAUCACCCUUAAUGUAGAUGUCCCCAAGGCCGCUCCUGACCGUGAGCUCGGCUAGUAUACCAGUUUUACACUCUGCAGAGGUUGUACAUCUUUACCCAUGAGUCAUGAUUUACCCUUUCGCCUGAGGUGAUCAGCCUCUUAACCCACUUCCAAGGAAGGUCGGCAGGGAUCACUAUGAAGCCUUUCAAAGGUUUCGUCUAACAAGUUAGGGCCAUAAGAUUCACUCGGCAGACAGAUAUAGAGCCCCCCUUCCAUGGCACAUAACCCACAGCCUAUACACACGGACAGAGGCCACACUAUACCCAACGUGUCUAGCCAUUCUUACGCCAUUUAAGAGGUAACCGCUAGCAAGCUAGAAAAAGGUCCUCAUACUGGGCUAAAGCCAGAGCCAUUAUAGCCCUCAUGGUUGCACUGUUAUCUCGGAUGAUCACGUACAGAUAAAUCAUCAAGUUGCUAAAAAGUCAUUUUUAUUAUUUAUUACUUAACAUUAAUCUUGUCACAGGAUCAUGGUCACAGAAAUAAAAUCCAAAUGCUAUACUUGCCUUAAUCAAAGCUCUCCUGAGCCUGCUGCUGGUCGUCAAAAACUUGAUCUUGCUCACCAACGUACGGCUCACAGUCUAAACUCGAUCAUCGAUCACACAAACAAUCGAAGAAAACAUACACGAAGCAAACAAGGCUACAAUUAGAACAGUACACCAAACAUAUAAAAACAGUAUGAAAAGUUUAUAAAAUGAUUCUACGCAUCGCUACGAUUUCAUAGACGUAAAGAUCACGAAAAUCGGAAUUAAAACGGAGGAGUUAUGAAUUUUCUAAGAUCUUAUAUAGAAAAGUAAUUAAUUAAAUAAUAUCACGAAAAUAAAAAGUUUCAAACUGGGUAAACAAUAUUACUAACAUGUGGAGCUCAUUAAUACAAAUCUAACAAAAUUUGAAUGGAUCAAAACAGAAUUAAAAUGAAUAUUUUAUGGCUAAAACAAUUUCAGUGGCAGUUUUGUAAAUACAAAAAAACGUAUUUUGAGCUAAGCCGUGAUGGUUUACGCUUUCAAAACAGGAAAGCGCAUUUUACGUAUAUGCUUUGGACCGCGGGUUCAAAUAGCGAAAACAGGGAGGGCUCUUUAACAAAAAUGCGAAUGAAGGGGUAUGUUUUAUUUUUAGCCGUAGAUCUUGAGAUGAACGGCUUUGGGCGAUCCAGGGAAGCUGGGCGGUGGCCGGCGGCGAUCUCCACGGUGGAGCGCCAUUGCCGGAGGGGGAGGAGCUCGCCGGAGUUCGUCACUUAUGCGAUUUCGGGAAAUAUUUGAGAAACUAAUCGCACAGGGAGCAAGAGAAGUUCAAGGGGAACUCACCCAGGGGCACAAACAGGGUCGGGGAAGGCUCGGUGAAGGGGUUCGACGCGAGGAGGCGAGCGGCGGCCCUCUGCUCGUGUUCUGCGGUGUUUAGGGGGCGAGGGAGACCAAUAGAGAUUACAAGGACGGACUCCGGAGCUUCAAAAUCACGUUGCGAAGGUCGGCACGUGGUUGCAGACGAGCUUUGAGCACCUAGGAACAAAAACCGCGGCGGUGGCUCCAAAUCGGAACUUGACGACAUCCAGAACGAUGACUCCAGCGUUUAGAGCGGCUCUCGUCUUGUAGAUGGAAAAGAGAAGACACCGAGGGGUGCUAAAGCACUUAUAGGCGCUCAGUUGGUGCUUUGCCUGCGAAAUCCCUGGAGAUUACGGGAUUUGCUGCCUCCUAGAAGAGUCCUGGGCGGAUUUGGCGCUAGGAAGAAGAUAGGAAGGAGGGAUGAGACGCUGCCGCAUGGGCCCGGGCUGUCGGUGACAGAAAGUGGAGGGGCCCAAUCGCCAGGGAGCAGAGAGGAGGGAGGCGCGCGUGCUGCAAACUGGGCCGGGGCGCGCAGCUUGGGCCGAUUGUGGGAGAGAGGAGGGGGGAAAUGCUGGGCCGAAAGGGGAAAAGGGGAGGUUUUCUUUUCUUUUUUAGUUUCCUUUUCCUUUCUUUUAUUCCAAAUCCAUUUUCAAAUCUAUUUUAAAAAUUACUUUGAAAUACUUUUGAACUUUAGUCAAACCACUCAAGUCAACAAAAAUUAAUGCAAAAGCAUGAAUGCACAACAAGUUGGUAAGUCCUAUGAUAAAUUUUAUUUUAAUGAAAAAAAAUUAUUUUUCCUAGGUUUCAUGAGCACAAAAAUUCAUAAAUAAAUCAUUUUAGCUCUAUUUUCCAAGGAAACAGUUUUUAGGGUGUUACACAUACCGGAGAUUCCUCUCUUGAUUGGCAGACCAAUCAUGAAACUUCUACAAGAACAACCACAACGAGGUCAUUUAGACUUCAAGGUUUGGAAUUCCACUAUUGUUGUUCCUCUUGCUAGAUCAAUUAACACGAUAGUGGAACCCAAACUUGAACCAGAUCCUAUUGAGGAGAUCUUAAUGCUAACUCAAGAGGAGAUGGCCCAACCAUUCUUUAAUCAUGAACACUUUGUUCAAGAAUAAGAAGAGUUGGUAGAACCCGUUGAGCUAGACAAAAAUGAACAACCUUCACCUCCUUCGAUAGAGUUAAAACUUCUUCCUUCUGGCCUUAGAUAUGUCUUUUUGCACAACAACCCAAAAACUCCAGUAAUUAUCAGUGACAAGCUUUCCGAUUAUGAAACACAACAACUUGUCACUGUUCUUGAAAGGCAUAGAUCAGCAUUUGGCUACUCUCUCGAAGAUCUCACGGGCAUUAGUCCCAUUCUCUGCACUCAUCGUAUCCCUAUUGAUCCCAAUUUUACACCUUUAAGGGAACCACAAUGGAGACUUAACAAUGCUAUGCGAGAGGUUGUUAAGAAAGAGGUCCUCAAACUCUAUCAUGCUGGGAUUAUUUAUCCUGUGCCACAUAGUGAGUGGGUUAGCCCUGUCCAAGUAGUGCCAAAGAAAGGAGGAAUGACGGUCGUUAGGAAUGAGAAGAAUGAACUCAUCCCUCAACGAAUUGUCACUUGGUGGCGUAUGUGUAUUGACUAUCGAAAACUCAACAAGGCUACAAAGAAAGAUCACUUUCUGUUACCCUUCAUUGAUGAAAUGUUGGAACGGCUUGCAAACCACUCUUUCUUCUGUUUCCUUGAUGGUUAUUCUGGAUAUCACCAAAUCCCAAUCCACCAAGAUGACCAAGAAAAGACUACCUUUACAUGCCCGUAUGGAACUUAUGCAUACCGACGAAUGUCGUUCGGAUUGUGCAAUGCUCCAGCUUGUUUCCAACAGUGCAUGAUGUCUAUUUUCUCAGACAUGAUUGAGAAGAUCAUGGAGGUUUUCAUGGAUGAUUUUACCGUCUAUGGCAAAACCUUCGAUCAUUGUUUGGAGAAUUUAGAUAGAGUCUUGCAGCGAUGUGAAGAAAAGCACUUCAUCCUGAACUGGGAGAAAUGCCAUUUUAUGGUUCAGGAAGGAAUAGUGCUAGGACAUAAAGUGUCCGAACGUGGUAUAGAGGUGGACAAAGCAAAGAUUGAAGUUAUUGAAAAACUUCCACCUCCCACGAAUGUGAAAGGAAUCCGUAGCUUUUUGGGACAUGCAGGGUUCUAUAGACGCUUUAUCAAGAACUUCUCUCAAAUUGCUAGACCCCUGACUAGUCUCCUAGCUAAGGAUGCACCUUUCAUCUUUAGUGAUGAGUGUCAUGAAUCUUUUCAAACUCUUAAGAAAGCACUCAUCUCAGCCCCGAUUAUCCAACCACCUGAUUGGAAUCUUCCUUUUGAGAUCAUGUGUGAUGCUAGCGAUUUUGCGGUUGGUGCCGUUUUAGGACAAACUAAGGAUAAAAAGCAUUAUGCCAUAUCCUAUGCUAGCAAAACCAUGUCUGGACCACAGCUCAAUUACACUACAACUGAAGAAGUGCUUUUGGCUGUUGUCUUUGCUAUAGACAAGUUUAGAUCUUACUUAGUGAAGGCAAAGAUAAUCAUCUAUUCAGACCAUGCUGCUCUCAAGUACCUCCUCACUAAGAAAGAUGCUAAGCCUCGUCUAAUUCGAUGGAUUCUUCUACUCUAAGACUUUGACAUAGAAAGCCAAGAUAGGAAGGGAGUAGAGAAUUCCGUAGCCGACCACUUAUCUAGGCUUCAAUAUAAGGAAACACAUGAUGAGCUUCCCAUAAAUGACUACCUAAGGGAUGACUCCCUGCUUAAGAUAACACAUGCUGAUCCAUGGUAUGCAGACAUCAUAAACUUUAUAGUAAAAGGCUAUGUCCCACCUGGUACAAACAAAAGGAAGUUGCUUCACGAUAGUCGUUUCCACCUUUGGGAUGAGCCAUAUCUUUUUUGAGUCUGCGCUGAUGGACUCUUGAGAAGGUGUGUUCCUAUGGCUGAGGCUACUCAAAUUAUGGAAAGAUGCCAUGCCUCGCCAUAUGGAGGACACUAUGGAGCAUUCCAGACACAUGCUAAAAUUUUGCAAAGUGGCUUUUCUGGCAACCAAUGUAUGAAGAUACAAAGGACUUUGUCAGGAGAUGCCACCGAUGUCAAAAACAUGGGAAUAUCAACUCACGAAAUGAAAUGCCUCUCACAAAUAAUCUUCAAGUAGAACUUUUCGAUGUAUGGGGCAUUGAUUUCAUGGGGCCAUUUCCUAUGUCCAGGAAUUGUGAGUAUAUCUUAGUAGCUGUGGACUACGUGUCCAAAUGGGUAGAAGCCCUACCUUGUCGAUCAGCUGAUUCUAAACAUGCCAAGAGAAUGUUCCAUGAAGUAAUCUUUCCUCGCUUUGGUAUACCCCGGAUAGUUAUAAGCGAUGGAGGUUCCCACUUCAUCGACAAAAUCUUCCGAAAGUACCUAGCCGAUCAUGGAGUUCGACACUACGUUACAACACCAUACCAUCCUCAGACUAGCGGUCAAGCCAAAACAUCUAACAAACAAAUCAAAAAUAUUUUACAAAAGACCGUAGAUGAGAUGGGUAAGGGGUGGAAGGACAAACUUCCUGAUGCACUUUGGGCAUAUAGAACUGCAUUCAAAACACCCAUAGGCAUGUCACCUUAUCAACUUGUAUAUGGAAAAACUUGUCAUUUGCCUGUGGAAGUAGAGUUUAAGGCUCAUUGGGCACUCAAGAAAUGGAACAUGGAUCUCCACCUCGCUAGCGAGAAUCGUCUGAUGCAACUAUCUGAGCUAGAAGAAUGGAGAGAGAAAGCCUACCACAAUUCAAGGAUCUAUAAAGAGAGAACAAAACGAUGGCAUGAUAAGAGAAUCAAGCACAAGGAGUUUAAGCCCGAAGAUAACGUUCUACUAUUCAAUUCAAGAGUUAAGCUCAUUGGGUAUGGUAAGCUACGAAGUAAGUGGGAUGGACCAUACAAGGUUAUUGACACUUCAACUCAUGGAGCCAUUACCAUCCAAGACGACAUAGGUAACACUUUUAAGGUAAAUGGUCAAUGCUUGAAAAUCUAUCUCGAGCCACAAAACAACCUGGUAGGGGAACUUGAUGUGAUUGAGUUCAUAGAAUUCUCACAUUAAGCUUUUAUAAGCUCUAGACAAUUACCUAACCCUUAACAUGCUCCACGAGUUUUGUUGUCUAUUUGGGUUGUGCAGGAUUUUGAGGCUCAAGAAGAGUGAGACCGAACAUGCAAGCCACAAGAGUGAACGACUAUGUCAACAUCCAGCUUAGGGGAGGCACCCCCACGUGUAUCUAGAUAAUUAUUACUUUUCUUUCUUGGUUUUAUUUACUAGUAUUUGGAAAUAAAUAAAAAAGUGCAUAACCAUGAAACCAAACAAAGUUUUUCUUUUGAGUAAUAUACAAUAGUUUUGUGUACUCCUAAGUUUUAAAUAAAAUAAAAAGAAAGUUUGAUCCAAGUCUAGGUAAUUGACAAACAUGAUAUGAAAAGGUCUGAGCUACUAUUUAACUUGUUCCAAGUUUCGCUAGAGUUCUGGAGAUUUUAUCUUUUGAAAAUCUAAAAAUUCAAAAAAAAUGAGAUCCUGUUUGACAUAAUACCUAGAGUCUUAUAAGAUAUAAAUAUUAAAACUGUGGGCACUUGCUUUGUUCAAGCCAUUGUUAAUUCUUGUAGUUUUGGUUGAGAGAAUUAUCAUGCUCCAAAGAUCAAGAUCUUUUUGUUUUAAAAAUAUAAAAGAUUCACUCUUCCAAAGUAUUAUUGCGUUAGAGGCAUGAGACUAUGCAAAAAUUUGAUUCGAAAAAAAAGAGUGAGACGAGAGGUAAAAAUGGACAAGUGUCCGAAGUAGAAUUAGGGGUACAAAGAUACCCACCUGAGUGGAAAAAAAUGGACACAUGUCCGAUAGUAGAAUUAGGGGUACUUGGUGCCCACUUGAAAAAAAGAGAAGAAAAAAGAGAGAGAGAGACUGAAAAAAAAGAAAGAAAAAAAUGAUAGCCCAUGGUCCCUCUCAUAAGCAAUAUGCCAGUAAGAGAUGACAAACUUUUCAAAAAGGUCAAAGGUCUUGAUCUAGGAGUAUGACAUUCCUCUCUCUUGCUCCGAGCAUUGACAUAGCAAAAUGCAAAGUAAGCAUGCUAAAACUUUUAAAGCUCUACUUAUAUAUCUUUCGAGAAGAAGGCAAAUGCCUCAGUUUUAUUUUGGAAACUUACAAAAAACUCCAGAACAAAGGUAAGACAUAAGAACUUGAGACAUAGUGCUUGACUUGAUCGUUCUGUUUUUCAAUCACUUAAGACCUUAGUGAUAACUUAAAAACCCUGUAGUAAGAGGCAUAAAAGUAACCCCUGUUUUCUUGUUGAUUUUAGCUUUGCUCAGGGACGAGCAAAGGUUAAGCUUGGGGGAACUUGUUGACAGUCCUUAAUGCUCACAUUUAACCGUCAACUAAUCAUGGAAAAGGACCUAUAUGCAACCAACAUUCAAAAUUAGGGUUCCAUCUCACAGAAUUCCACGAGUUUUGGUGUUUGUCUAUUUCUACAGGGGGUUAUCAGGAAAUAUGGAGGAAAGGCCCACACGUCACGUUUACAUAGAGAUAUUAAGGCCUGCUACAAUUUUCUGUAAUGAGAUGGACCUAAGAAGCGAUUGGACCGAAGCAGAGGCAGAACGGGGCCUGGCCCAGGGUGCCCGCCCUAGGGACCACGGCGCCCGCCCUCCUGUGGUGCCCAAUCAGGGUCCACUUCAGGGAUUAUGCCCCACCGACUCUAAGGAUCGAGGAAAAUCACGCGAUUAAGGUUGGUUUGAUCGGAUGGUGGAGAAUAACGUGACGCGGAUCGAUGACGUGGAAAUUCCUUGGGGGCUACUCUUCCUAGAUUUCUUGGGGGCUACUCUUCCUAGGCUAUAUAAGGCGAGCCCACCAGCCCCUGGAGGGAUAUCUCUUCUACAGAAUCAAAGCUAGGGUUUCAAUUAUUCAUCCAAGUAGAGAGGAUCCCUCUAGUUCAUCUAGUUCUAGUUCUAGUUCAUCUAGUUCUAGUUCUAGUUAGUUCUAGUUGUAAUCUAGAAAAUAGGGAGAGAGAAGAGGAGAGCGGAGGAGGAGUCGGAUCUGUCGGAUCUUCCUCAACAUUGUACUUUUGCAGCAACCGGUUCGUUCUUCAUCGUUCUCCAAGUUCUUCAAUUCAUAAUUUCUGAGUUCUUUAAUUACUUUUAUUUACAUUCAAGUUAUUUAUUGGAUUCCCGCUUGCAUCAAGUGCUCUAGUCUUUGCAACGCUAGAGUAGUAAUUAAUACAUUAGACGUGGUGUUUAGUCUUGCAAUUACCUGGAAUUGCACCCAAUCCUGUGGAUUGUUGUGGUAACCCUAGGGUAGUGACAGCCCUAACGGUCGACGCAGUGUUUGUAGGACCGUAGUCAGAGCUUCCUAGCCCCCUUCUCAUCUCUUUCUGUGGUUAGUGUUCUAAUGUCCCGAAAUAAAUAAUCUUUGAAGUAAUUCUUGAUUCUUAGAUCAACUAGAGAACUCUCAGAAAACUUCCUCUCUUCCCACCAAAAAUAAUUAUAUAGUUAUUCUUGGGCAAUCUUGAAUCUUAAUUAGUACACUCACGUUUCCUGUGGAAAAUCGAUACUCUGCAAUACUCCUGGGUGAAAGCUACAUCAGUAUCCGUGCGCUUGCGGAUUUUUCUGUUUGCGUUUAAAAUACCCAACACUUGUGUAGACUCAAACUUAGCCCAUGCUUCUUGCAUUGCCUUGCUUGGUGCUGGCGUCCUUGUUUUAACUUUUUCUUUCUCUCUCUCAUUCACCUUUGGUCUUCAGCUUCGCUCUCAUUCCCUUGAAUUUGUGGUGAUAUAUUGGACUCUGAUUCAUCUGAUGACAUGAUCUUAGGUACUUCUAGAAAGGCAAUGGUGAUUAGGGAUGGCAAAUCUUGAGUACAUCUCAGCUACGAAAAGCAUUACUCCCUCUAGAGUUUUUGAGAACUUCAGUGGCACCUAGGGAGUCAUAAAGUGAAUCUCCUUCUUGGUAUGGUAGGACCAUUGCUGUGUCAACUAGCUGGGUGCUGCCAUCUUCAGUAAUAGAACCAGACCAGUGGAUGAUGGAAUCCUGUGAUGUCACUAUCUACACGAGUCUUUCUUGAGCUCCUGUCAACAGUACCCUUCACAUUGGACUGGUUGAAUCUUGAAGUAGUGCUUGAUAAGAGGUAGCCGCAUUGGAGAGCCCUAGGAUCUUGCUUCUCGAUGAAUCUUCAAAAGAUUGUGUGUUGAGCUAUUUUCUGGAGUCCUAGUCGAGAAGAACCUAGAAUGGUGAGUUGCUUCUAAGGCCUCUGAAACUUUGAUGAGAUAGCUUUGGAGCUUGCCAUCACCAUCCGCCUCGCAGAUCUAGGAUCUAAAAAUUAAGACUGAUUCCACUAGGAAGAUCAUGUUGUCAAGAUCCAUCCAUCGAGUUCUCGAAUGCAAAUAUGUUGAAAGCCCAUACCUGGGACCCUAGUUGUCGAUGUUUUACCACCAAUAGCCUACCACGAGGGUACCCUAGACAGUUGUUCGAGCUUUUUCAUAUGCUAAAACUCACUAGUUAACGCAAGAUACAAUUGAUUUUAUACUAGUUUGGGUCCAUGAGAUCGAAUUCGAGUAAUAGCCUUUACAUCCAGUUCCGCGUUAGCUUUUCUAUUGGAUUUAUUAUAUGAAGUUGCUUGUUGUUACAAGGGGUGCCCUUAGCCUCUCUUUAUAUCAGCAGACUAGUUGGAUUCAAAGAUAUUGUUCUAAGUUUAAUAUAGAAGGUACUUUCUAUAAAAAAUUGGCUAAUCCAGCCUAUUCUACUCGGAGUCGGAGUUGUGCCUCGUCAUGUUCCUUUGUGGAGUCAUGGGCCAGGUCGAGGCCCACUUUGCAGUAUCCUCCCGUGAGGAACCCUAUAGGCCCAUACCAAUAGUUGACAUCUACCUUACUUGAAUGAGCAAGGUUAUAUUUGUAGUGGUAGCAGUAACGCAUUGAGUAUACUCCAAAAUGUAUAAUACUAGCCCAAUAUAUAGAAUCCAGGCUGCACUAUCUGAAAAUUUAAUUCAAACCUGAUUUGCAUUUUCCUUUUUCUUUGUCAUAUUACAUUUUUAGGUUGUUGAUGACUUUAAUGGAGCCUCUAUGUUUCUUUUCCUUUUCCUUUGACAUAUAUAAUCUGCAGCUCACUUGCUAGUUGCUACUGACCUUGUAAAAUAUUUGUAGCAAACACUCGGUGAUGCUUUUGUAUAGUUGGUCUGAGAGAGGCCACAGUCCGCUCCCUACUAAUCUUGUAUAAUGUUACUACCCAACGCUCUGUGUCACUUUUAUGUUAACAUUGAACCUUACCAUCUACGAAGCCUGGUAACCAUCAAAACUCCAGAUCAUAUGUAAUAUUUUGAAUAUAUACUAUACUUGCUGCAUUGUACUUAAGCCUAUUAAAAAAUCAUGUUUCCUGCAUUCAUAACUAUCAUGUAUUCCAGAUCUAUUAUCACUAGCACGCAGGGGCGCGCAUUUGCUACUAGUGUGUAGUAAUAGAAUGGAUCCAUUGCUGCUAUUAGUUGUACGUGAGAUUUGGAUUGCUAGAGCCACAUCUCUACAUCUCUACAACUAAAAUGUUUGGACUCCUAUUGUCCACAGCCCGUGCGAUGGGGCUCGCUCGCUCCCUGUGUGUACGAUCCCCGCGUGGUGGACCCAGACGCCCGCACGCAUUGUCCACUAUCCCGACAGCUUGCUUCCCCAGGCGCAUGCUGGCAUGUUCCCUCGUGUGUGGACCAAUGCUCCCUCCUCCCUUUCCCGUCCGGUCCUCUUCCUCCCGUCCGCUCGUCGCACAGGCGCCACGCCACCGCCUCCUCACUCCCUGCUGCACACAGCACCCCGACGGAGUGCCGUGGGAUUCACCUCGACGGAGGAUCUGGUUUUUCCUCGCUGCCCUAUCUUGAGCCAGCUGCGAGGGUCCACGGGCCAGCGGCCUCCCCUUCUUCUCCUGAUCUGUUCAUCGAUCUGUUCGUUGGGGGAGAGCACGCGCGACCGCCCUGCCUUCUUCUCCGCUUGAUCGAAGGCGCUGCCGCUGCCUGCUGAGGUGAUCCGUAACCCAAAGCCAGACCUCCUCGUCAUGACCCGAAGCCCCAAGGCAAGAUCCCCUGUUCUCCCCCCUCCCCAACGCUCUCCAAUGCUCCUCUCUCCUUUUCUCUUAGUCAUCUUUCUCCUCCAUACUCCUUUAGUCCGUCCUCCUCAGCCAAAUUGCCUACUUAUAUUGUUGUUGUUUUAUUUUUUUUCCAUAAGGGAGAGUAUGUGCAGGUAGGUUAUUUUAAAUUCAGUAGCUUCAGUUCUUGCUUUAUUAACAGUAUAAAUUUAGGACCACCUGCUCUACUAAUGCUUGACUGGGGCAAACAAUUAUAGAAUUUGCUUUCUGUACCUACAAAUCCAUUGCCUUCAGAUUGGAGGUUUCAAAUUUGCUUUCUUUACCUGCAGAUCUAGUAACCAGUUUGUUACUGCCCACAUCCAGAAAGUGAUCCACACCGCUAGAAACCACAAGCAAGGCAAAGUUCUGUUAUCUGCAAAAUUCUUUUUUUCUCAAAUUUAGUUUCAAGAUUUUAUCAACCUGAAACUGAGAACUCAAGAUGCUUUGGUGCUGUUUAGAAUACUCAAUGGUUUUGAGUUUCAUAUUGCAUUGGCAAUCAACUUUAAACCCUGCUAAGGACUUUAUUUUCUGAAGCACCAACGUGUGCUUAACUGUUUCUGAAGCCACUAUGCAGUAGCAGAUAAGUUUGAUGAGGUUAAGGUGCUCAGAAACUGCUUGUGUACUUGAAAUCAGAUUUAUCUAUAGAAAAAACAUUGAAUUGCUACUGUUUUGUUAUAUACCAUUUCAAAAUAAGUUUUUAUUUUUGGUACGUGUCAAACAGUUUGCAUGAAAGAUUUAUUUGGUUUUUUUUCAUAUGGUCGAUUUAGGGACUGCAUGUGAUUCUUAGAAGCUGCAAAGUGCAUGUUUCAUAUCCUUUAUGCAAAUGCAAGAUGAGAUUUGCUGCCUGUCAUAACCUCAAAAAAAUAAGACUUCGAUUGAUGGACUUAUUAUCAUUAAGAACAUAACCUUUUCUUGACUCAAAAGUACUAAAUUAACCUACUUCCAGAAAAAUUCUUGCUGAACUCACCACAUGUUGCUUAUUUUAUUUUUUGAUUGACGAGAGCAUGUUUAGGAAAAGUUUGUUAUAUUUUCGUCAUUUCAAAAGCUAAGAUUUUUAAGUAUUCAAAAAAGAUCGAAGCAUUAGCUAGCUUCAAUGGUAUGUUUCUAUUGUACUGAUUCGUUUUGUUUUCAUUAUCAUGCUAAAUUGAUUUUCCUAUUCUUCAGGAAAUAUAAAUCUAUGAAGGCUACUCUUUUGUAAUAAAUGAGGAUAUGAAAACAUGAUAGCUUUAUAUAUUCAAUGCUAUCCUGUGAAUGAAUCAGUAAGAAAGCAUUUAUAAUCUAUAAUACAAAACCAAAUGUUACAAGAAUGAGUUUAUUGGACCUAAAUAUGAAAAAAGGUUUUGAUUUGCUCUAAAUUUGGGAACGGAAUGAGGUUUCAGAAUUUGUCCAAGCUAAUCACAUCAGUAGCUUGGUGAUUAGUGUAGUAGAGCAGCCAAUUCGACUAAAGUGAUGUACUAAUAUUGUUUAGUGUACGGCAUCUCACUUUCAACAGAGUUAUUCUUCUUCUUGAGUAGCUUGGCAUAUAUUAACAUUUGGAAGAUAUGAGAUAAUUGAUGCCUUGAAAUAUUCCUUUCAUUUAUUUUUAUCUCUUCAACUUAUUCAGGUCCUUAUUCAGUCUAUUUUAUAUCCAUGUUGGUAUAUAAUGGAUAACCAAGUUUAAGCUUCCACAGCCUUUGCUAUUGCACUGUUCUGAGCAGCUUGAAUCCCUGCGAACAGCACCACCAUCUUCCUUGUAGUAUCAAUCGUGAUCUAUCACCUGUUUAGGUAACUUGCUUGCUCACCUCCUAUUUAACAAUAUACCAAUGUGUCUUGUGCUUGUGUUUUAGGCAAAGGUAAACAUCAGGAGCAUAGGCGCAGGCAGCCAGCGCAAGCUAGGGCGGUAUGUCUAUCUUCCUCACAGCAACAUCCACUGCUACGAGGGGCUGUACUUUGUCGUUGGAUGAUCCAACAGUCCUAGGCAAUUGCAUGCCUUUGAUUGUUUGGUUAUUGGAACAGGAAUGGGAAAGGGAUCAGACAUCAGACCAGCAAGGUAUAGGAUCAAAUUAAUUUAUUAUAUUAUCAUUCUAUUCUAUCAAUUCAGAUUGCAAUUCUCCUCCUUCGCACGUGAUGAUGUGAUGCAUAGGCAUAGCAACCAUUUAGAGUUCAGAGUUCGUGCAAGUUGCCAAGUUAGUGUCAUCUCUAAUGAAUCUCCCUGUGCUGUUUCAUUAACAAAGAUGAAAACUUGACCUAGCUUGCGUCUUUCACUAUGGACAAACACCAAAGCAUUCAGCCUAUCAAAACUCGACAAUAUUCGAUCUUUGACUACCAGUUCAGAAUGUGGCAAAAUAGUUUUAGUCUUUGACUACCAGUUCAGAACCCGAUUUUUGUUUGUUUCAAUUUAUUGAAUUUUGUAGGGAAUUCAAUCUACCAGUUUAGAACAUGGCAAAAUAGUUUCUAGAGGUGAUGAUCAGCACUCUAUCAUAGUCUAGGAUAAGCAGAUUUUCAACCUUUUGGAAUAAAUAAAGGGUCACGAAGCACUGUUAAGGUUCUUACAUUUUGCUGUAGAUUUAUUUUAAUGUCUUCAUUGCCUCUCAUUAGUAACUAAGAAACAUGUUCCGUUCAAUAUCAAUAUAGGUUAGAUCUGUCCCUACGCACAAAAAGAAGGUUAAUUCUGUACGGAUGCUCUCAUGAUGGGACUGUGAAGAUGUGGGAUAGUGAAAAUUUAGAUCUUUGUGAACCAAGCUAUAGCUGGAACUUUUUAUUAAUAAACACAAUGUUUAUCAAAGUAAACUUUUCAUCAUAAUGAAAUAUCUCAGAAAUCUCAUGCUAACAAUUCAGAGCUUCGAUCUACUUUGCAAAUUCAGAGUGGUCCAAAAUUUAGAGUUCAACUAAAUAUGUAUGGUGACUUAUGGAUCAGUUAUAAAUACUGUAGUGAGACGGAAUGACACCUGUGGAAUUAAAUCAACAUCUUUUAUGACCCCAAACAUGCUAUGACCUCAUCCUUUCAUGUGCCUUACAUAGGAUGAGUUCAGUUCAAAUUCAGUUAACAACUGAACAUAACGACUGCCACAAAACCCCAUGGUCAUGGCUCAUGCUCAUGCUUGAUGGCAAUCAUAUGUUAGGACACACACACACACACACAUAUCAGAUAAUUAUAUUCCCUAGCAAGAGGGUAGCCUGCAGCAAAAUAGGGAAAAUGAUAUAUAGUGAGGGCAUUGCACAUACAAAACUUACUCUAAUCUGUUUAAUCAAUGGUAUGUCAAUUCACUGUUCAUAUAUGUUAUAUUCAAUGCUUAUGUAAUAUUGAUUGGAACACCAUGAUUGCAAUAUGUAUUGCCUUUAAAAAAGGAGUAUAGCACACGCUUAUACAUAUUUGUUAUCGUGGUAUUAUGUGUUUCCGUUGCAACGCACAGGCAUUUACCUAGUUACCAAAAAAGUUUGUUCACUCUCCCUUUUGUCCGCACAUACAACUUUCCGUUACCUACUAGAAUCACCACAGUCAUAAACAGUGCAUGCAAAUACAUGGAUGGGAGAUAUAAUAUUUUCAUUGGACAUGGUUUUAUGUGAAGCUAACAGUAGUUUGGAAAAACUGUAGUGCGUCCAUUGACAAACAAAAGAUAAAAUAGCGCCUUUGGUUCAUAAGUAAUAUUAAGAUUAUCAUGUUGACAUUCAUCAAUAAGGCACGCUUUAUUAAGAUUAGGUUUCUUAUGUUCUCGUAUUACAGAUUCAUGUUCUCUUGUUCGGGAACCAUAAAUAACAUAAAAGAUAUCUUUAAUUGUUAUUAACCUCCAUGGCUCCCAUAGUUACUGAACUCUAGCAUUUGAUUGGAAAAUCUGACCUUCUGUGGCUCAGGGCUUCAUGUAAAUACAAGGUUUUAGUCUUCAUGUAGUCGAUUGUAUUCUUUGUCCGGAAGGUGAGAUGGUACCACUUGCGUCCUUGCAAGCACCCCUUAUCUGAUCUCGUCUUCUCAUUCUUUCAGAGUACUUUGUAAUAUCAAGGCUAGCAGUGUUUCUUCCUCCAAAAGCAAACUCCAACUUGUCCAGGUCAAAUAUGUCAGCCAAUAUCCUCUGGCUAUCUGAGUUGUUGCUAUAAACAAAUUUCACUUUGUCGUACAACAUUGGCUCGAUGAAGUGUUUUACUAUCUGCAGAAAGAGCAAGCAUUUCAUACAUCUUGCCGACAUAUAUAUUCACUAAAACUCAUCAAUCUUUACAUAAAAGGAUUGAUACUGCCUUGCUUAAGUCAUAUCAUGGUCAUAGAAAAGCGUAAAGGUAGCUAUCAUGUUUAGUUGGAAUACCAACUACCAUAUGAUGAUUUUAGUAGUACAUUGAUAAUAUGCUUCUUAUCAUGAUGAAAUGUUUUGAAUGACGUAGUGUAAAUUAGUAGAUAAAAGUCACAAUAAAUUAUUAGUAAAAGUCAAAGAUGGCUAACAAUUUACAUUCUUAAAAACCACAAACUUUUAGAAAAAGAGUAUUGCCUUCGUUCAAAAUUAUAAGACACUUUGACUUUUUUUGGUACAUCCAUUUUACUUUGUAUGUAGAUGCAACUUAUGUCGAUCUAGAUAUAUAGCAAAGUGGAUGUAUCGAAAAAGUCAAAGAGACUUAUAAUUUAGAACAAAUAAUUUUGUAUACAAAUAAGUUGAUAUAUGAGUACCUUCCAAAAAGAUUCAAAUAUCUUUGGCGGAUUACAGAGAAUUGCUGCUCCAAUCAACCCUGGAUAAUAGUUUUGAAUUAUGUGCAACGAUUCUCGGGUUUCCCACAAUGGUGUAGUUGAUAGUGUCCAACCAUGGAAAUCACAAAUCCAAACAACGUUCUUUUCUUGUGCGUCUUUCGAGCUCAAUGCCAAGAUCUCAAGGUUAUACACAAGUUGUUUUAUAUGUUCCUUUGUUGAAGUUAAGCUCUGUAAAAAAUGGGAGAAUUUCAGUAAAUGUGAUCGAUGCAUAAAAUGAGGUACGUGCAUACAAUAAAGUUGAAGUUGAUUCAUAUCCUGUUCAGGAACAAGAUAAGCUAUUGUGAUUCUGAAUUUAAGAUUCCUAUACUUGAGAAUGGAAACAUAUGUGGACUCCUACUUGCAUCAGAUCUUGUGGCCUAUAUAUGUAUAAAUAUCUAGGUGAAUAGUGACUACAAACCUUGUCACCAAGAGAAAACACAAUACCACAAUGAGGUAGAAGCAAAAUUAGACAACUUGAGAGAAUUUGAGGCUACUAAAACAUAAUUUUUUAUUCUUGUAUAGGGAUAAGACUUAAGGGUACCAGGAAUCUCAAGGACGCAUGCUAAAAAUCUCAUGUUAUCGAGCUAUUAUAGUUUUGCAAUGGAUUCAUGUUGUCUACUCCAAAUCACACAUAGUAAAUACUUCUACAAGAUCUAUGUGUCAUUCAUAGAAUCAUGCAUUCUUGUAUGGAUCUAUUAUAUCUUACAAAAUCAGAUGUUAAGCUCUUGGCUAACAUAUAGCUAACAUAUAUAUUUCUAGUCACUAUUUAAAACUAUUUGAUUCACGGUUGAGAGACAUGGUCUACAAUAUCAUCCACCAUUUUUGGUUUUAUAAUAUAUCUUGAGAACACAUAGGCAAAUUUAUAACAUAUAACAAUGAGUUUUACACAUUUUUUUGAGAUCAACAGUAGGCUAAUGUCAAUCUAUAUUUUCAAACUCCAGUAUCGAAUCCACAUCACAAAAAGAGUAGUGUCAAUUUUUUUAGGAAACAACCAAUACAAUGCAUGAUGUUAUGUCACUAUAUCCACUGUAAUGAUAUUAAAUAAUUAUUUCAUAUUUUUUUGUCCAUGAAGGUGGAUCCAAACUGUUAAAGUUAAUGUUGAACUUGUUGGAUUUGGUGCCAAAGUUGUUACACCAUGGUGUUACAACUCCAUUCUCUAUAUAUCAAUUAUUUUUUUGCCACAUAAGCAAAAGUUAUAUAUGUUGUUCCUACUCCAGGAGAAGUUACUCCCAUCUUCUAUAAACCAUAUUGCGAAUGUGGCCAUACUUAUUUAUCAUUUGGAGUAUGUUUAUAUAGUCAUUUUAAGAUACUCCAAAUCUUACUAUGUGAAAAAAAUUCAAGAGACCCCAUAUUUUUUAAUAUAUUAGUAUAAUACUAUGGUAGUAGUAUAUAAAAUAAGUAUAACUAUAUACUCUACACAUACUUACAUACUUGACAUACAUACUGUCCUUGAUGGUCUAGUAUGGUUAUAUACUUUGUCCACUUAUUCUUUGUCGGGCCAUCUAUACUCUAAAUCUAAAGACAUACACAAAGGACACUCCAGGGAGACCCAAGCACCAGUGAUAAAAUGUGGUGGUGAAAUUUUGAUUUGUCACUGAUCCACAUGUUAUUAGUGACUAAACUAAUUUUCAUAACUAUUGCAUCAAUUAUUAGUGGCAAACAACAAUAUCUCCAUAGGAUGCACCUUCAGUGGUGAAGUUAGUGAAGAAACAUUAAUUUAUCACUAAUAAAUAGAUUAAUUGUGACUAAAUGUUGUGGAAAAAUAUUUUUAUUCACUGUUUACAAGGUUAAUUGUGACCAAAUAAUUUUUCUUACUGUUACAACAUUAAUCAGUGACAAAAGCACGUGUCACACAUAAUAAAUAAUUUGUGGCAAAUAUUGUAUUAUCAAUAUUUACUAGGUUAUUUUGACUAAAUAUUACUCUCUAACUAGAGUAUGAUUUUUAUUAGUGUCAAAAUUUCCUCACUAUUAUUUCUUUAGGAACACAUAAGAAUAAAACCAGAUAAAUAUAUAUUUGGAACUUCAACUACCAUGGUGGGGAUUGGCGAGCUUUGGUCGGAAAACAUUGCCAGGUGCAUUUGGUUCAUUUUGAAAAAUGGAUAUUGCUGUUCUUACCCGUGCUGUAGAAACUAUCGGUAAUUUUACUUUUACCUUUUGAAAUUUAGAAUUCUAUCCCCAUGUUUAGAAAUUAUAAAUGAGCCACUUGUCCGGACUAUUCGUUUAGCUGAAAAGUUAUGGCUAAAAAUACUAUUCGUUAAUUUAUUAUAAGAGAAAAAUAUUAUUAAAUGAUUGAUAGAUUUAACAGAUAAGCUCAAGUGAAUAAGAUGGAACUGCCCUCUAUUCUGACCCCAUCAUCCCAUCGUUUGAAGCCAAGACCACCUCAGGCUUGUAUUGUUCUCAUCAUUACUAGCAGCAGUGGUCAGCGGCAGGCUUGUUUAGGCCUUGUUUUGAUUCGAUUUUUUUUUAUUUUAACACUGUAGCAUUUUUAUUUUUAUUUGAUAAACAUUGUUUAAUUAUGAAAUAAUUAGAUAUAAAAGAUUCGUCUCGUAAUUUACAGACAAAAUGUAUAAUUAGUUUUUGUUUUCAUUUAUAUUUAAUGCUUCAUGCAUGUGCCGCAAAAUUUUUUAGUUUUUGGAUGAACGCCUUAGGUGCAAGUAUACAUGGCUAUAAGGAUGAAAACGGAACGGAAAUAUCUCGAACCGAACUGAACCGCUUUCUAUAUUUGAUCCGAUCGAAUUCGUAUUUUCUUGUCCGACUUUAUCGUUUUCGUUUUCGUAUUUUAGAUGUUUUAUAUUUUAAAUGUAAAAGUAGAAAAUGGUUUUGAUAUUUUUCGACCGUUUUCUGCUUUUCUACUUUUAAUUUGAAAUAUUUCGAAUUCAAAAUUUCGUUUAAACCGAAUUUAGUUAACUGUAGGGUCACACAGCCCAAUUACAAACUACUAAUCAUGCAUCUACGUUCUUUCUACUAGUGGCUAGUUGCGUUCCCUAGCUAUUAUUGCUUAUUCUAGACUUGUAUUUAUGUGUGGGCUAUUGUAUUAAAUACCUAAGACCAAGGAUCAUGCACUUUUUAAUUAUUAUAUGGACUUGAAUUUGAUCGUGUAUAUACUUAGUCAUGUACUUGGUACUACAUAUUGGUAUUUCGUAUUAAGUUUUCGUAUAUCGACCGUGUUCGACAUAAAUCCGAUCGAAUUGGUUCGUUUUCAAAAUUCUCGAUAUUUCGUAAGUUUGUGUUCGUUUUCGUGUCCGACUUUACCAUUUUCGUUUUCAUUUUCGUAUUUUAAAUAUAAAAGUAGAAAACAAUUUAGGAGUUUUUCGACCGUUUUCAUCCUUACAUGGCUAUGUAGCCCGUGGGCCGAUGACACGAUCCAUGGCGCGGCAGUUUGGCCUUACCUGAGCAGUGGCCCGCGGCCCGGUACCAGUCAUAGGAUGGUGGCUGUGGCAUGAGUAGUGAUGAAAACGGAUUGGAUACGAACGAGUACUGUUGAUAUUAUAUUUGUUUUUAUUUUUUUAUGAUAUUUGGAUUCGGAUACGGAUAGAUAUCGGAUACAACUACGGAUACAGAUGUCUUGGAUGUGAAUACGGAUAAAUAUAUAUCGAAUACAGGUUCAGUCGGAUGCGGAUAGUGUUGAUUACAAAUAUUGCUCCGGAUAUUAAGUAAAAGCAACAUCUAUCUAUAAACAUGUGUUGUAGUCAUUUGACCACUCCGUGAGUCCUAAUUACAUCUAGAUUGUACUAUCUCCGUAUAGGAUUUAGAAGUCGUUUAAAACAUCGACAUGGUCUUCAAAACACAACUUUAACCUCUUAUUUUUAUGAAAAAUAUUUAGAAAAAAUGUAUAAAUAUAUAUUUAUAAAAGUAUUUUUUCAAGAAAAAUCUAUUUAUAUAUUUUUGACAUUUACAAACUCAAUAAUUUAAAAAUUAUUGAUGAUUUAUAUUUGUAAUAUUGAACUUAAAUCUUAUCUAAAAUGACUUCUAAAACCUAUACGGAGGGAGUACGUGUAGAGGUCAGGCAGGCCCACUCACGAAUUAGGAACGACGUGGCUCGGCUGUUGUAUACUUCAUGGGCUUCGGCUUUGGGCCAACACAUCCUGCUACUUGUGUUGGGCCUGUGCGAAUGCGAGCAAUGAAAACAUAAGACAAAGCAGCAUCGAGUAUGCUAGUUUAGUUCCACCUCGAUGCCCAGCCAGGAACACAGGAGCAGGCUUCCUAUAUAAGACUAUGAGCACAACAGUUUGCAAGGCUUAGCAAAAUUGCUAGGUUACGGUGACGUAAUUAACUCCAACUCAAUAUAAAUUUAUAUGUUAAAUUUAAAUAUAUAUUCGGAUAUAUUUCCAGAUAAUCUAAAAAAAUAUUGGAUAUCUGAUAUCCGGUGGAUAUUAAUGAGAUUAUAUUUGUAUCCGCUAUCCGUCAAGUAUUCGAAUUUAUAUCCGAUAUCCGAUAGAUGGUCCGGAUAUCCGAUAUAGAUGUCCGUUUCAGUUUUCAUGACAUUCGGACCGUAGGAUUUUUAUCAUUUUAGGCCUUGUUCAGUUCGCAAAAACUUGUGAAAAACGGCACUGCAGCACUUUCGUUUUUAUUUGACAAACAUUGUCCAAUUAUAGAGUAACUAAGCUCAAAAGAUUCAUCUCGCGGUUUACAGAUGAACUGUGCAAAUAGUUUUUGUUUUCAUGUAUAUUUAAUGCUCCAUGCAUGUGCCGCAAGAUUCGAUGUGACGGGGAAUCUUGAAAAAUUUUGCGAACUAAACAAGGCUUUAUAUCCGAUAUCCGAUAGAUGGUCCCGAUAUCCGAUAUAGAUGUCCGUUUCAGUUUUCAUGACCUUCGGACCGUAGGAUUUUUAUCAGACCAUUUUCAUCCAUAGGCAUGAGGCACAGUGCUAGUUCAGGUCAGCGCCCACGGCCACGGCUGGUACAAUGCCCGCUGGACACAGCAGAAGGUGCUCGCGGCUGCUACGGUCAUCUUGCGGGCGACAACACCGCCAGGCGUGCGGGCAGCAGCUCAGCGUCUGGCAGGUGGCAUCGUCCCACGGGCUGUCAUGCUCUCGUGCGGCCAGAGGCCUGACACGGUGGCUCAUACGUUGCUCUCCAGGCCUACCGAAAUUUUCGUUUGUUUUUGGAUAAUGUGGUAUUUUUAUUUUUAUUUAAUAAUUAUUAUUCAAUCAUAGACUAACUAGAUUUAAAAAAUUCAUCUCGUAAUUUAUAAACAAAUUGUGCAAUUAGUUUUUAUUUUCGGCUAUGCUCAUUAUUUCAUACGUGUGCCGUAAGAUUCGAUAUAACGAGAAAUCUUAAAAAGUUUUUGGUUUUGGUUGAACUAAACAAGGCCUUAUAUUGUUUGAUCAUUCUCUAUAUUUGUCUAUUCAUCGGUCUCAAAAAGAGUGACGCUUUUGAUUUUAGACAUUGUGUUUGACCGUUCAUUUUAUUUAAAAAGUUUUUAUAAAUUAGAAAAUAAAUAAAUAUAUAUUAAAAUAUAUUUAAUGAUAAAAUAAGUCAUAACAAAAAAAAUAAUAUUUAGACAAAAAAAUUGAAUAAGACAUAUGGUCAAACAAAUAUUUAAAAGUAAAAAACAUCAGUCUUUUUGGAUGUAGGGAGUAUGCUAAACGCUCAAUCGUCUAAUGUCUUAGUGAUGAUUGACAAUUCAAUAGCAUUGUUUGGGCAAAUUUGUAGAUACACAACUUUUAGUGCACACUUACGUAUGCAUUAUGUUAAGAUACAUAAUACAAAUAACAUAUAGAAAAGAAAAAACACCUUAUAAUUUAAAAUAGAGUAGCACCUAAUAUAUGUACCCAUUACAACCCACCGGGUACUGAAACUGACCUUUUUUGACGUCAUUAUUGCGAAGACAGUUCUCCCAUUGUUGUCAAGAUAGUCUGGUAUAUACGCUCUUCGAACCUCAUUCUCCAUGCUAGCGAGGUCUUCCUAACAUGAUUUCCAAGAAGAAAUAUAAACUUUGUUAUUACCAGUAUAUAACAAAUACUACGCGUAAUAUCAAGCGAUCAUUUUGAGAAGUUACGUUCCCACUGAGAUACAUAUGUAGACUAGCUACAUGCACAUGUGAGUAAGUUUAUUGGUAAAAGGGCUGGUGUCUAUGUAAUGUGUUUUAGUGUUUGGUUUGUGAAAUCACCUCGUGUUCGUGAGUAGGUAUAUCAAUAUUUCAUUCCUUUAAUAUAAUGAUCAAUCAAUUUCUCAUACAUAUACUAAUUACUAGCUCGUGUGAAAUGAACUUGUGAUGGAUCAGCUCAUUAUGUUCCACAAACCAAAUAAGAAAAAGUGAGAAAUGAGUUGACGAUGGCACCUAAUUCUUCAAACCAUAAACACAGCUACCCCCUAUGUGUUGAUCUCCGAGAGCAGAGUAGUGUGUGUGCCUUGUUAACAAAGGACCGGGCUAUCACAAAAAGUUAAACUGAGAAGGAGGAGUAUUUUUCUAAUUAUUUCAGAAGAACCUCUAGAGUAUUAAGAUUCGAAGUAUAGCAAAGAUUCGAAUACCCAGCAAAUCUUGUCUGGCUUGUACUGACGCCUCCACUUGACAGCUUCCUUGAGAGCCUUGGUCGCUUGUUCCAUGCUCCAGUUCUUUGCUCGGAGAAACCUGCGGAUGGUGCCGUCCGAUAAGAAGCUCGGCAUCUCCGUCGGCAGGUCGCCCAGCAGCUCACGGACCUCGUCUAUCUUCAUGUCCAGGACUCCAGAGAUUCAUGUCACUUCAUGUAUCGACAGUACAAAAUAGAGGAAACGACAUUAAUUAAUACAGUAGUUUCUGACUGGUUACCUUUCGCUGUUGUUCCUGAGGAGACGCCUGUUUUUGUUGCUUCCCUUCAUUCCUGGUCUUCAACAGAGAACUCAUGGCUCUGCGAUGGAUAUGUGGCCGGGGCUGGCUAGCUACAGAGCGCAAGAUGCAGCGAAACCUGGAUUGUAACUUCCCGCGGAUUUAUUGAGUUUCUAACGCGUCGUGGUCGUAUUAUUUUUUGAGGUCUGGAAGCAUCGUAUCGGUAGAAGCAGACGAGUGGACGACGUGAUCGAAAGGGAAUAGCAAUACACAAACCUGGGUGGCUGGGUAGCUAGCAGCUGCUGCCGCCAUAAUGGUUGGACCCAGACUGGACGCGAACACUGAAUGUGGUCAGCAUCGCUGACCAUACCCAUAAAUAGAAUACAUAAGCUAGUCAAAGGCUAUCACCUAAAAAUUCAAAAUUUUACAAGAUUCUCUAUCACAUCGAAUCUUACGGCACAUGCAUAAAACAUUAAAUGUAGAUAAAAAAAAUAACUAAUUGCACAAUUUACUUGUAAAUUACGAGACGAAUUUUUUAAACCUAGUUGCUCCAUGAUUGGAUAAUGUUUUGUCAAAUAAAAAUGAAAGUGCUACAGUGUCAAAAUCCAAAAUUUUUUUGAAUCUAAACAAGGCCAGAGUAGAUCAAAGAUGGCAAGAGAAUUCGAUCAGCCGGUGUUCAUGUACGUUUUUUUUGACAAGAGAUGUUCAUGUACGUUGAAGUUAUAGCAGCCAGAAACUUAGGCUUUGUUUAGUUCCGAAAAGAUUUCGGAUUUCGUACUGUAGCACUUUCGUUUGUUUAUGACAAAUAUUAUCUAAUUAUAGACUAACUAGGAUCAAAAGAUUCGUCUCGUGAUUUCCAGCUAAACUGUAUAAUUAGUUUUUGCUUUCGUGUAUAUUUAAUGUUUCAUGCAUGUGCCGCAAGAUUCGAUGUGACGGAGAAUCUUGAAAACUUUUUGCUUUUGGGUGAACUAAACAAGGCCUUAGAACCAGUGAAGAUAUGGGAGAUACACCAAUUUAACGCCGACAAAAUUUUUAUGGUGGACAGUCAUCAAAAUAAUUAAUUACUGGAUCUAUCUAUGUGGGAUAGAUGCUUUGUUGAGGAAAGGGACUCUGCCGACAAAUAAUAUAGGGCGCUGUUGGCAACAGGACAUCAACCGUGACCCCACAAAUCCAAAUUAAAUGGAAUAAUAGCGAACUGAUUAUAGGUCAGAUGGUUAGCUUUCUUAUGGUAGAACCUGUAUACCUAGGUUCAAGUUCUCGAUUUGGCACUGGUGCUGGCAUUUUGCUGGAUUUAUUCUAAGAGUUUACGGUGCUAUGUUUAAGUAGUAGGUGACGUCUCCGUCGACAGCAAGACACUUGUGAUAACUUCGUGAAUCUCUAGAUUUACUGCAUCAAUCCUUCAUAGGUGCUCAUCAUAAGGAUAGGGCUAUAAGUGACUGCGUUGUACUCUCUUUGUACCUCAAUUAGCUAAGGUUUUGGGCAACCUUGCCGUUUUUUCAAAGACUCGCGCUCAGAGGUCUCACCAAUCGAGCUACACCAAGUUGUUGUAGAGGAAACACUCGCAGUACUAUUUAAUAGGGGCAAAGCACGAAAACUAAUCCUUAAUUAAUUACUCCUUGGUUACCGCAAUCAUGUUCUAAACGUCAGGUAAUUCAGGUACGGAGGGAGUACUGUGUAAUUCUAAAAAAAUAAACAAAACAAUAAUAGGGUUGCCGGUGAUAAAGUAAAUACUCCAUCAUUUCCAAAUUAUAAGGCGUUUUAACUCUUGUAAAUAUAUUAUUUUUAUUAUGUAUCUAGAAAUUAUGUAUAUCUAAAUGCGUAAUGAAAUUUUCUUUAAAAAAAUCCUUACAAAAACUUCAAAAAAAAAUCAAAGCGUCUUAUAAUUUGUAAUGGAGGGAGUAGUCAACAGUUAUGUAUGUGCAUCUCUUCCUAGCUGUUGAAAGGACCAAAUAGUCCAAGAGUGAGAUGAAUUUAGCUCAAGAAAUUUGAAUAACAACAACCUUAGGAUAUGCAAAUUCAAUUUUAGCUACUUGCAAGGUAGUACCUACAACUAAAAUAAUUACACUAAUGUUGUCGUUAGAAAGGUAGACACUAAACAUGCCAAGUGAAUCUAUCAGGAAAUUUGCACAACAGUUGAUACAAACCCAUGAGAUAAGCAACUAUAGUAGAGCUCAUGAUCACACUAGGAGAAGGGUACUUAGUGUGGAAACUAAAUCUAUUAAUGUUAGGGAUAAAUAUUAUGGACACCCAUCUAAGGAUAACAAACCGUAGUCAUGAACCUCGAUUGUCUGAGGAUAGACCCUAACCCGUAGUAAAUGGACCAAGCCUCGGGGAGCUACUGUUGAUGGUAGAUAACUCCUAAAUUUAAUCGUCAACUAAACAUGAAAUUGGACCUAUAUGCAAACACCUAGUAGAUAUAGGGUUAUCACUAACAGAAUUCCACGAGUUUUGGUGAAUAUCUGUUUCUGCAGGGUGUCAACUGAAAACAACCAAAGAUGGUCCACAUAUCACGUUUACAUAGAGAGAACACCGCAAGCGUCAACUUUUCUAUGAUCUAGAAGGUUCGAGGAGGCUCCAGACCGAACGAGAGGCGAAACGGGCACGGGUGCCGGGCGGCCGCACGGAGACCCCAUAGGCGCCCGCCCCACUAUGGUGGCCAAUAACACCCAACCUCGCGGAUUCUGCCUCCACCGACUUUGUGGAUUAAUCUUAAGCACAGUUUAAGUCUGUUUGAUCCAAGGGCUGCGGUGCUUCCUAAGGGGCUAUAAAUAAAGACCAUGACCCCCACAGAGGCAUCUCCUUCAUCUUCUUCAUUAGCUAUCUGCAUAGCAAAAACUAAGGUUUCAUCAAGUAGAGAAGUAGAGGUCCCUCUAGUUCAUCUAGUUCUAGUUCUAGUUCUAGUUAUUUAGUUGUAUCUAGAUUAGAGGGAGAGAGAAGAGGAGAGAGCCAAGGAGGAGCCAGAUAUGUCGGAUCUUCCUCAACAUUGUAUUUUGCAGCAACCAGUUCGUCUUUGGUUAAUCUCCAUGUGCUUCAAUUCUAUAGUUCCUAAGUUUUUAUUUAACUUUCAUAUUUACUUUUAAGUUAUUUAUUGGAUUAUUGCUUGCAUCAAGUGCUCUAGUUCUUUGAUACGCUACAGUAGUAAUUAAUAGGUUAAGCGUGGUGCUUAGUCUUGCAAUUACCUAGAAGUGCACCCAAUCCAGCGUAUUGUUGUGGUAGCCCCAGGAUCGUGACAGUCCUGACGGCCGACGUAUUCCACCAUGUUCAGAGUAGUGUUGUAGGGCCGUAGACAGAGCUUCCUAGCCCCUAUCUCAUCUCUUUCCAUGGUUAGUGUUGUGAUGUCCCAAAAUACAUAACCUUAGAGUAAAUUCUGGUUCCUAGAUCAACCUAUAGAACUCUCAGGAAAAUUCCUCUCUUCCCUACAAUAUUAUAUAUAGUUAUCCUUGGGCAUUCUAAAACUCAACUAGUACACUUCACGUUCCCCGUGGAAAAUUGAUACUUUGGAAUACUCUCGGUUGAAAGCUACAUCGGUAUCAGUGCGCUUACGGAUUUUUCUGUGUGUUUAAAAUAUCCAACAAGCUUUCUAGCGCCGUUUCUAGGGAACGGUAGCUGUGUUAGUUCCGAGCCAAGUUCGUCCAUUUAUCCUUUUUCUUUUUUACCACCUUUUUAAUCACCACAAUCAUACCACAUGGAUUCCACUCCAAUCUAUAAAUUAUCCACACCAAAGCGCGAGUUCUUAAAGCCACCACAAUCGUCGAAGCCAACACAGCUUCUAGCUAUGAACUUCAUCCUGGCUUUAUAGUCAUGGUUCAGGACCAAUCCUUCUCUGGGCUAGAAAAUGAAGAUCCUCAUAACCAUCUUACGAAAUUUGAGCAAUUGUGUUCUUGCCUAACUAUUGAUGGCAUGACACAAGAGACCCUCAAAUGGAAGUUGUUUCCAUUCUCCCUUUUAGGUAGAGCAAAACAAUGGUAUGCUCAUUCCGUAAGAGGCGUCAAUGGAAAUUGGGAUGAACUUCGAGAUAAGUUUUGUCAUACUUUCUUCCCUCUUUCUAAAAUAGCAGCCCUUCAUAGAGAAAUUCUUAACUUUGAACAAAAAGAGAAGGAAACACUAGGAGCUGCUUGGGCUAGAUUCAUAAGCCUUACUAAUUCUGGUCCAACCCAUUCCUUGCCGGAAAACAUCCUUUCAAAACACUUUUAUCUAGGACUUAACAAGGAAGCUGCUCUACAUCUCGACUCCGCUUCAAGAGGUUCAUUCUUGCAUAAAACCAUAAAUGAGGGGCAAGCCAUUCUUGAGAAAACCCUUGAAAACACCCCUUACACUAGCAUUUUUGAUGAGUUUCCCAAAGAAGAAAAAGUAGUCGAGCCCAGCCCUAAACCACAAGAUGAGGAACACACAACCGAAUUAGAUAUUUCAAUAGACUCUUCUAAUAAUUUGGUUGUUGAAAAACCUCCCAUUGAGGGAAUGCAAACUCAACUAGAGGAUGAUGAAAGAUCCCCUUUAGAGUUUCCCUUUGAAUUCAAGGAAGAUAUUUUUGAAGACUAUGGAAUUUCAUUGAAUUGUCUUGUCCAAGUGAGACCUCAAGAAAAGACCACUCCUAUUGAACUACAUUAAGAAUUAAUGGCUAUAGAACACAUUCAAAGCCUUUUGGCAGUCAUGAUGGCUAAGAGAAGCAGAGUUAUCUCCUGAGGUAGCUCGGAUCACCUUUCCAUCCACCAUUCUUCUAUGCCAAGUUAGAGGGUCUGCUAGAAGAGUCCACUAUAAUCUUUCUGUCGGGAUAAAUAUUAUUUCAAAAGAGUUAGUUACAACUCUUUAUCCCGGCAUGUCCUUAACUCCAUCUCAAAAGCUUUGGCAAGGACCAUCAGGAUUUAUUCUUGAAAGCCAUGGGGUAUUAAGGACUAUUCCUGUUAGAAUAAAGAACUUUGGGAUAUGCCUAGAUUUUCAUAUUUUUUGAGAUCCCAGAGAUUCCUCUCUUGAUUGGUAGACCAAUCAUGAGACUUUGACAAGAACAAACACAACGAGGUCAACUAGAUUUCAAGGUUGGGAAUUCCACUAUUAUUGUCCCUCUUGCCCGAUCUAUUAACACAAUAGUGGAACUUGAACCAGACCCUAUUGAGGAGGUCUUAAUGGUGUCUCAAGAAGAAAUGGUCCAACCAUUCUUUGAUGAAAAACACUUCAUUCACGAAGAGGAAGAGUUGGCCGAGCCCAUUGAGCUAGACAUAAAUGAACAACCUCCACCUCCUUCAAUAGAGUUGAAACCUCUUCCACCUGGACUUAGAUAUGUCUUUCUUCACAACAACCGUAACACUUCUGUCAUCAUUAGUGACAAGCUUUCUGAAUAUGAAACACAACACCUUAUGAUUGUUCUAGAAAGACAUAGAUUAGCCAUAGUCUACUCACUCCAUGAUCUCAAGGGGAUUAGUGUCGCUCUCUUCACACAUCGUAUUCCUACGGAUCUCGAUAUCUCUCCAUCAAGAGAACAUCAAUGUAGGCUUAACAAUGAUAUGUGGGAAGUUGUUAAGAAAGAGGUCCUUAAGCUUUUACACGCUGGGAUUAUUUAUCCUGUUCCACAUAGUGAGCGGGUUAGCCCUGUCCAAGUUGUGCCGAAGAAUGGAGGAAUGACUGUUGUUGAGAAUGAGAGGAAUGAACUCAUUCCUCAACGCAUCAUCACUGGGUGGAGGAUGUGCAUAGAUUAUCGAACACUUAAUAAGGCUACAAAGAAAGAUCACUUCCCGUUACCCUUCAUCGAUGAGAUGUUGGAACGGCUUGAAAAGCACUCUUUCUUUUGUUUCCUUGAUGGGUAUUCUGGUUAUCAUCAAAUUCUGAUCCACCCUGAUGACCAAAGUAAGACUACUUUCACAUGCCCGUAUGGAACUUACGCAUACCGAUGAAUGCCGUUCGGAUUAUGUAAUGUUGUAGCUUCUUUUCAAUGGUGCAUGAUGUCUAUUUUCUCUUACAUGAUCGAGAAAAUCAUGGAUGACUUUACUGUCUAUGGCACAACCUUUAAUGAUUGUCUGGAGAAUCUAGACAAAGUCUUACAAAGAUGCGAAGAAAAUUACUUAGUCCUAAAGUGGGAAAAUGCCAUUUUAUGGUUCGGGAAGGAAUAGUGCUAGGACACAAGGUGUCCGAACAUGGGAUAGAAAUGGAUAGAGCAAAGAUAGAAGUUAUUGAACAACUUCCACUUUCCCACAAAUGUGAAAGGAAUCCGAAGCUUUCUAGGCCAUGCGGGGUUCUAUAGGCAUUUUAUCAAAAACUUUUCUCAAAUCACUAGACCCCUCACUAGACUAUUGGCUAAGGGUGCACCUUUCAUCUUUGAUAAUGAGUGCUAUGAAUCUUUUAAAACCCUCAAACAAGCACUCAUUUUAGCUCCAAUCAUCCAACCACCUGAUUGGACGCUGCCUUUUGAGAUCAUGUGUGAUGCUAGCGAUUUUGCUGUUGGUGCCGUUCUCAGCCAAACAAAGGAUAAAAAGCAUUAUGCUAUAUCCUACGCUAGCAAAACCUUGACUAGACCAUAGCUCAAUUAUGCUACCACUAAGAAAGAGUUGUUGGCAGUUGUCUUUGCAGUAGACAAGUUUAGAUCUUACUUAGUUGGAGCAAAGGUAAUCAUUUAUUCAGACCAUGCUGCUCUUAAAUACCUACUCACUAAGAAAGAUGCUAAACCUCGGUUGAUCCGCUAGAUUCUUCUACUCCAAGAGUUUGAUAUAGAAAUAGAAGAUCAAAAAAGGAGUAGAGAAUUCAGUAGCCGACCACUUGUCUAGGCUUCAUUUCAAGGACACACAUGAGCUUCCCAUCAAUGACUACCUAAGAGAUGAUACCUUGUUCAAGAUAUGAGACUCCAAUCCUUGGUAUGCAGACAUUGUGAACUUUAUAGUAAAGGCUAUGUCCCACCUGGUGUAAAUAAAAGAAAAUUAGUACAUGAUAGCCGUCUUCACCUAUGGGAUGAGCCCUAUCUUUUUUGAAUCUACUCCGAUGGAUUAUUGAGAAGAUGUGUCCCUAUGGCUGAGGCUAUUCAAAUAAUGGAAAGAUGCCAUGCCUCUCCUAUGGAGUACGUUAUGGAGCAUUCCGAACACAUGCCAAGUUUUGGCAAAGUGGUUUCUUCUAUCCAACGAUGUAUGAAGAUACAAAGGAGUUUGUUAGAAGAUGCCACCGAUGUUAGAAGCAUAGGAAUAUCAACUCAUGAAAUGCAAUGCCUCUCACAAACAAUCUCCAAGUUGAACUUUUUGAUGUUUGGGGCAUUGAUUUCAUGGGCCAUUCCUCGUGUCUGGGAAUUGUGAGUAUAUCUUGGUAGCUGUGGACUAUGUGUCCAAAUGGGUAGAAGCACUACCAUGUCGAACAAUAGAUUCUAAACAUGCCAAGAGAAUGUUCCAUGAAGUGAUUGUUGGGUAUUCUUAACAUCAUUACCAAAAGUAGACUAAGUUCUCUAAAUCUAGUAACGGUGCCAAAAAUGCCAAACCUAUCCCUCACACCACUUAAGCCAAGUUGUCAUCCCCAGCAUGAUAUGAGAGACGCGGUAUUGAAAUAUGCAAUUGCUCUUCUAAAUAAAUAAUGAAUGGGAUCUGCAAGCGCACAGAUUAAUACCGAUGUAGCAUUUUAACCGGGAAGUAUUCCAGGUAUCGUUAUUUAUAUUUUUACCACUGGGAAGGGAUUAGCAAUCAUCAAUAUUGAUUACAGAAUAGAAUAUGAGAUUGAGCAUCUAUCAUUGCAUAUGUAAUUGAGAACAUUUAUCUAACUCAUUCAUACAGGGAUAAGUGUCACAUAAAGGAUAUAUGAAAUAAUGAAUAGUGACAAAGAUAAUUAAUCUGAUCAGCCACAUAUAAAUAUGAUAAGCACCUCAAUUAGAUACUCUAGAAAGUCAUUAGCAUGGAAUUAGAACGAACUACAAGAAUAUUUCCUAGGUUAUUCUCAACUAUUGUUGACACCGUUUUUGGGCACGUGUCUAGGAUGGCAGGAUGAGGUGGCAGUACGAUGUUUACGAGGUGAGUUGCCGAUAAGAAUGGUUGCCGAUGAAGGAGAAGUUGAACGUGACUAAGUCUACAGGCAGUGAUAUGACUGUGCCGAUGGCUGGAUAAGAAAGUCUGCCGAUGACUAUGGCAAAGGGUCUGCCGAUGAUGCAAAGAGGGAGUCCGGGAGCUGCCGGUCGUUAUGUGAGGGAGUUUCAGUUUGUCACGGGGGAUAGUUUUGUUAUUUCCUUAAUUAUUUACAUCAUUUUGUAUACGGAUUCCGUAUAGUUUGGAAUUCGAAUUCUAAUCGUUUCUCGUUGUAGCUCUUUGAGCAGGGUAUAAAUAUAGACCCUAGGGCCUUGUAAUGAGACAUCUAUCAAUCAAUCAAACACACGUUUUUACUCAUAUUCCAGCAUCUACUUUUCGACGACUUCGUCAUACUUUUUCCCUUUUAUUACGAGUUCUUAGGAAUUCGUCGACUUAAGCUCGGCGUGUUCUCAAGUUCCGCGUGAGUACCUCUUAGCCGUGACAUCCGGGCGCAUCGCUGUUGUCAGGACUAAAGUAUUCGAGUUAUCACCUUUGCCGAUAGUAAGGUCAAAUCGGCUGGCACGCCUUAACGUUUGAAUCGGGUAUUAGCCCUUUGUGUUUGCAGAUCAGUUUUGCAUCAACACAUCUUUUGGCACGCUCGGUGGGACCAGAUUCAAGAUCAAGAUCAACAUGUCGAUCUCUGACCUCGAUCAAGAGAACGUCAUCCCCGUGACGGAGGCCAAUCUCAAGGAUGAGCAGAAGCAAGCUAUUGCCCAAGUCAUGGAAGAGUUCAAGCAGCAAUGCCUGAGAUCUUUCAGCAUAAAUAGGAGCGGCGAAGUGGUCCAGAAAGAUGCACUACCGGCACCACGGCAGGUUACCUUUGACGCCAAUCCUGGCAAGCUUCAAGACAUGGUUGACAAUGCCAUCAAUCGAGCAUUGAUCAACCAAGCUGGUGUACUGUCUAAUACGGUUUUCAAUGCCGUGGCAAGAACUUUCAAGGAAGGACAAAUCCCACCAAAUUAUGUGGGCCCCUCUCACCAUCAGCCAACGGCACCAGAGGUCACGGCUCCAUCGGAUGCUUUGACGGCUGCAAGUGCACAAUCUGCCGUCCCUCCAAAUACAUCGGGAGCUACUGGUGCACUAUCUAUGCUGAUGACAACCAACCCACAGACUUCAAUUGGGCAGCAUAAACUGACGACAGAUAUGUUGGCAUCGGCAAUGCCAGGGUUGACUCUUCCUCCCAACUGGUGGGGUUACGGUAUGCCUCCAGAGUUGACACCAGGAACAUCACAAAUAACUGACAUGAGGGGCAAGACUCCUAUGACAUCGGCGCCUCCCAAUGCGCCGGUAAACCAGAGUCCUCGGUAUACCACAACUACCACCGCAAGGCCUCACACUGGAAAUCCUCAAGAUUCAAUGCUCCAAAUACCUAAUGCAUCGGCAGAUUCAAUGCUGAUGCAACAGAGGUCUAUGGCACAGUCAGGGUAUGUCAAUUCGAUGAUGAUACCCAAUUACCAAUCAUCGGCAGCACCUAUGCCGAUGAACGCUAAUAAUGGAUGGCUUGGGCAGCAAGUCUUUCCACAAUCGCCCUAGCAGAGUUAUCAGACUACAGGGUUCCAGCAAGGACAGGUCUAUCCCGGGUUCCAAGGUCAGGGGAUUCCCAACCAGCCAAUGAAUUUCGUACAGCAACUCGGGGGACAGCAAAUCGGUGGACAGCAGUUUGGUGGUCCGCAGAUUGGAGGACAGGUGAUCAAUCCAAUGUUCCGUGCAGAUCACGUCCCGAACAGACACGUGGAGGUUCGCCACCAAGUGCCAGAUCCGCAGCCGCCUCAUCGGCAAGAUCCCGAUGCAUAUUGGGCCGAUAAGAUUGCUGAAGUAAUGAGGGAACAAUUUGGGAUAAAACCCAAAGUCAACACUUACUCUUAUCGGACACCGUAUCCUCCCGCGUAUGAUUUGAUCCCGCUUCCACAUCGGUACAAGGUACCAGAUUUUACAAAGUUUUCCGGGCAGGACGACACGUCAACCAUGGAGCAUG